rnacentral:lncRNA from 1 species
CGCAACCCCGCAGCCCGCAACCCCGCAACACCGUAACCCCGCACUCCACAGCAAGCCGCACUCCACAGCUGCAACCCACAGCAACCUCUGCCUCCACUGCCGCCCACAGCCUCUGUUUUCUGCCAUUAACAACCCCGUCCACGGCCAGGGCCAAAACCAGUCCAAUUUGACUGGUUUCUCUAAUCCUUCGUGAUAUUUGGUAAGUCUCGUCUCUUUUCGUAGGUUAAUUGUACUGAAUGACAAGAGUUCAUUCUUGUCUCUUUUCUGGUUUAGUAGCAGUUGGUAAUGUAGUAGUUGACACAUCUCAUAUGUACAAGGAUGGAUCAACAAAUUUUCUUCUCGCGUGAGGACUGCAUCCAACCUCUUUGUUUUAUUCCUUUCUGCAAUAACUUGCAGUUCAAUCAUAGAAAUUUAAUGUGGAAAAUCUAGAUUAUGCUUAUUAAUAUCUGAUAAUUUUAAAGAGUACUCGAAAAGAUAACGUCUGAGUUUUUGCAGUAGUUUUACCUUUUCUUCAUGGAUUUCUUGGGGGGAUGGGGUGGGGAAGCAAGAAGUGUUCUGCUUGUGGGUAUAAUCUGCUGCUAAAUGUGCCUAUAAAUCUUUUCUAAAACUUAAUUAUUAGUACAAUUAGAUAUUGCACUUCAAUAUCUGGAGGAUUGAAAGGGAAGAAAAUAAGUAUGGUUGAUUAAGACUUCUUAUUUGUGAAAUUUGAGAAAAAAGAUGUAAGGAUGUUAACCUUGAUAUCAAAAAAGCCUUACGGACUUAAUUUGGACAGCAUACUUCUUUUUUUUUGGGUAAAUUUUUGAUCUUUUGAAUGAAACAUGUCAAUGUUCGUGAGCUAACUGUUGCACUAUCACAGGGAUUGAUUGGCCUUUCAUUUCAUUUCAUUUCAAUUUCAAAGUGUUUGAUUAGUUUGAUAUUUUCGUCUUGGGGCCAUUUAUGUGUGUGUGAAUUGAGUUAAAUGAAUUGUUGAAUGAAUAAUAUAGGCACUACACCAUAUGUGCCUUCAUCUAUUUUGUUCAGCCUCUCGAACUCAUCAACACUUUUACAACCCUGAAGCAUGUUCACGGCCCUUGGUGGAGGAACUGCAUGUUCUGGUGUCCCGUGGGAGUUGUGUUCAUCAUCAGAACCAGUAUCCGCAUUGCUACCACUGGUUCCACCAUAACUGCGAUCUUCAUCAACCUCCAUGUACUCAUUCCUGUCCAAUUCAUCAGGAUCACUAUCUCCACUAAAGGAUCUAACGCGUUCAUCAGAAGACCUGACCCUAUUUCCCACUGAACCUUCUCUCCUCAGUUCCAUGUACUCAUUCCUUGUGAAGCUGUACUUAUUCUUGUGAUUUCUGAAGGGGUUGUACUUUUUCUUGUCAGGUGUUUGAAGUUGGACAAUUUUUAAGCUAUGUAGCAGUGUUUUACAUGGUUAUUUGGCUGUAGUUUGUGCGUUUAUUUGGCUGGACAAAACCUGUUAUGGUAUAUUGGCUCUUAUGAAUGUUGUUUCAUAUGGAAUUAGACUGUAGUUUGUGUAUUUGUUGACUGCAGCCCUGGAGUUUGUGUUGUAUGGAUCAUGGAUGUUAUGGUCUUAUUUGUCUUGGAUGAAAUGUGGUUAGAGUUUGUGUAUUGUUGAAUGUGAAUGGCAUUGGUUGCCAAUCCUAAUAUUUUUUGUUGAUUUUGGAUAGCCUAAAUCUGGAUAUGUUGGAGCAGGACUUCGUAAAUAACUGAUUGUUGAAUUUUGAAAUCGAGCCUCAAAAUCGAGUCUCGAGCUUCGAACUCGAGUCUAAAAUCAAGCCUCGAGCCUCGAACUCGAGCCUUGAGCUCGGAUAGAUAUUUCGAGCUCGAGCUCGAGCUCGUCCGAGCCUGGCUCGUUUAUGAUAAACGAGUCGAGCUCGAGCUCGAGUUCGAGUCACAUUUCCUUUUUUCGAGUCGAGUUCGAGUGCGUAUUAUGGCUCGUUAGCGCUAUCGAGCGAGCUCGAGCUUGGCUCGAAUUCGUCACGAGUCGAGCUCGGCGUUCAGAUACUCGGCUCGACUCGGCUCGAUUAACAGCACUAAUUACAACUCCAAGAUUUCGACUUGCUAGUGAAAUUUUUUGCUUUUACAGAGUGCCUAAAUCUAUACCCCACCGUUCUGAAUUCAUCCUUUAUAAAGAGUUUCAAUGCUGAUGCGAAAUUCAUCAAUGCAUUAGGAUAAAAUGGCGUGAAUUUAACCACUAAUUAACACAUAUGUACUAAGUGUGUAGGGAUGUUGCCGAGACCGUUCUUUUUUUUCUGAUGUGGCAAAAUGUUAUUGGACAAUUUGUGGUCGUCCUUGCAUGUGUUUGUGCAAAAAAAAAAAAAAUUCCAAAAUGCUGAGACCGUUGUCUUUGUAAAUGAAUGGUACAUUUAUUGUCUUCAUUUUGGUUGUAUACGAUUGGACCACUUUACCAUUUCUGUUCCGCCUUUUCCCAUAUGUAUUGGGAAGUGAUUGUCAUCAUUGCAAUAACUCAGUUUAGUUGACUAUCAGGACAAAUGUAUUCCAGUUUUGCCCUCCCAUUAUAUUUUUCUUACCAGCCACAACGAAUUGGUUUGCACUUGUCAGGAGGUCAAUUUUUAUUUACACUUGGGUUGCAUUUGUCAAAAACCAUCAUUCCUUCACUGUCGACGGCUAUUGAAAGGAGGACUGUGGCAAUUUCUUUUGUUCUGCCCAACCCACCGCAAUUUCUUUGUUCUGCCCAAGCCACCGCUGCCGGUAAAGCUAUGGAUUGUUGCUGGGAUUUUCUGCUUAUGCUAAUGGUUAGUGAUAUGUUAAGUUUUUGCAGUCCUUUUUUGUAUCAUUCCUUUUUUGUUUUCUUCGGUUCUUACUUUCUCUUUUAUUGCUAUGUUCCUCCGAAGCUUCUUCUUCAUUUUGCUCUCCUUCAUAAAGAUUGGUCAGGUGAGCUUUUCCUUUUACUGAACUAUUCCUUCUAUAAUGCUGUUUAUUCCGAUAUGUUUUUUGCUUGGUCAUUCGUAGACUAACUCAGUCGUAUUUACUUUGUUUAUGGGUGUUUUGUAUUUUGUCGUUGUGUUAAGGUAAGCUUAUUUUUAAUUUUCUGUGUUCUUUGAUUAUUAUUAUUGGACAAUUGGUGGUCGUCCUUGUCUGUGAGAAUUGAACAAUAUUCGUCGGGUGCGCUUUUUCUUUUAGUGAGCUAUUUCGUCUAUACUCCUGUUUAUUCCAAUAUGUUUUUUGAUCCGUCAUUCAUCGACUAAUUCAGGUUUACUUUCUCUGUUUAUGGGUGUUUUCUAUUUUGCCGUUGCAUUAAGGUAAGGCUAUUUCAAAUUUUCUAUCUUCUUUCAUUCUUUGUUCUACCUUUCAUUUGUCCAUUGUUUGUUCUUAUUUGUGUUCUGCCUUUUUCUCCUCUUUUCCCUUUACAUUUUGCAUGCAGCUUUCUUCAUAUGUGAUUGCUGUAACGAGCUUUCUUUCUUCGUCAUCUUAUGUUAUAUAUUUGGAGCUUGUAUUGAUUCAGGUUAGCUGAUCAUUCUCUCUCUUUUUUUUUUUUGGCUUUUUGUUCUACCAGUUUUUUGUUUCUUGUAUUGAUAAACUGCUACAAGAACAUAGAAUCUCCUGUUAAAAAUAAGAACUUUAAUUAUGAGACUUGAAACCCUUCAAGACUUCAAUUUGAUUAACGUUUAUUGAUUAUCAUAUCUAAAAUCGUACUUGAUCUUCACAUAGGAAGAUGUUACCCUUUUUUGAACAAUAUAUUUUACAUUGAAAUAUGAAGGCAUGCAUUUCAAAACCAAAAAAUUUGAACAAUAUAUUUUACCGUUAUCCACCAUUUCAUAUACAAUUUAUAAAAUCAUCACUUUCUACUUUAUGCAUCAAACUUUAGAUAUAAACGAAAUCAACAUCAACAACUAACAAACCAUUUCUCCUACUUUUCCAUUUAUAACUUUUAAUGCUUGGACCAUUCUAACAUUUUUUACUUUCAAUUUUCAUUGUACGAUUUCAACCUAUUUCACUUCCACACCCAACUCUCAUCUUAAUCAUUCCAUACUUAUCUUAAUGUAAACUUAACAGCCUAUAUAGUUUACAUGCUUCUUCUUACUCUAACAUCACACCAACUCUAAAUAAUCAAUACAAGUUAGGGCAUAAUAACAUUGAUCCCCCGCGCGUAGCGCGGAAUCAGCCUCCUAGUUGUCAAUAAAUUAUGAACAGAUAGUUUAGUAUUUGAUUCGCUUGUACUUCCUUUCUACGAGCUUAUGAUUUGAAAUAAAUGGUCCCAUCCUGCUAAAACAAUUUUGAUGUGUGUUCAAUAUGGUGCCUUUGGCUUUGCCAAAAUAAAUUUAAUCAUUGAGUUUACUUCUUUUGACAAAAGAAAGCCACAACUAAAGUCUGAUAAUCAGUAAGAGAUGGGUGAGACUUAAAAAACUUGAAUUUACUUCUUUUGACCUAAAAAAACUAUAAAACUGAACUCGAAAAAUAUAAAUAUAAAUAUAAAUAUAAAAUAUAUAUAUGGAUUAUGAUUAAAAUAAUUUGAGUUAAUUUUGACUUAAAAAAUGGCACACCACUAGCAGAGACCACUACUCCAGUUAAAAGUAAGGCUUGUCCCAAUUCUUUGUUUUUCUUUUUCUUUUUUUUUUUCUAAUUGUUUAGUAUUUAGAUCAAUAAACAAUCACAUAUACUCGCACUUUAUUAAUUAAAUCUGGAUCUAGAUAGACAGACACUAACAUGUACUCACACAUACAAAUGCAGACUCCAUGAAUUCUGUGGUCAUAUGGGUAGUAGCGAGCCAUUAAUUGUGCCAUUAUUUUUAUAUCCUUCUUGUUUUUGUCAAUAAUAUUAUUGGGUAGUAGUGACUCGUGAGCCAUACGGGAUCUAGGCUUUUAUAUUACGUGCCUGAUGUGGUUUUUAGGUUUAGCUACUUCUAGAAUGUUACUUAAAGUUCCCCUUGGUUGGAAGUCUAAUUAUGUUUUGUUUAUCAUGUACUCCCUCCCUUUUUUUAUAACUGACGUUUAAGAAAUUUGCUUUUAAGUACUUUUAUCUGUCGUUUUAUUAUCCCCAUGCAACAUUAAUUAUUUUUUCACAAUUUUACCCUUUUAUCUCUCUUUUCAUAAUUGGUGGGAGUUAGUUUGCAUUGCUUUUGGUCUAGUAAAACAGCACCAUCUAAUACUCUAGUGAGAGAAAACAUGGGUGAAUUGGACAAUUAAUGAGGGUACAAAAGGAAAGUAGUGUAUAGAUUUAAACAAUGAAAAACUUUUCUUAAUUGGUGUGCAAAACCUUAAACGCCAGUUAUAAAAAAAGGGAGGGAGUAACAUUUAAUUGAACAAUUCAUAUAAUCAUGUACUCCCUCCCUUUUUUUAUAACUGACGUUUAAGGUUUUGCACACCAAUUAAGAAAAGUUUUUCAUUGUUUAAAUCUAUACACUACUUUCCUUUUGUACCCUCAUUAAUUGUCCAAUUCACUCAUGUUUCCUCUCACUAGAAUAUUAAAUGGUGCUGUUUUACUAGGUCAAAAGUAAAGAGAGAAGUAAUAAUUACUAGAAGUAGUAAUUAAGAGUCCUGUAUUGGUAAAGAGAGAUAAAAGGGCAAAAUUGUGAAAAAAUAAUUAAUGCUGCAUGGGGAUAAUACAACGACAGAUAAAAAUACUUAAGAGCAAAUUUCUUAAACGUCAUUUAUAAAAAAAGGGAGGGAGUAGUAUUUAUCACUUUUUUUUGUCAUUCAUUGAAAUUAUCAACAAUCAAUUAUCAAAGCAUCCCCACCCCACUUGUGUGUUGAUUCCAGAGUACAUAUAUGUGUAUAUAUAUAUAUAUAUAUAUAUAUAUAUAUAUAUAUAUAUAUUGAUUGUGCUGAAUUCAUGGUGUUAAAAAAAAAAGGUAAUUCGUUCAUCUCAUUUUGAUAGUCUUAUUUGACUUUUCAUUUCUCUAAAAUGCUUUUAUUUAAUGUAUUUUAUUAUCAUUGAAUAUAACCUACUUUAGUCAUUAAUUGCUUUGGUUCAUGCGUUAAAUGGUGCAAUUUUUCAUCCAUAUUAUUGUUGCAAUUAAUGCAAAGUUAUAAUGAUUAAUUAUACUACUAAUAGUAAUAUAAGAAUAUUUUAGACAAAUAGCAAGGUAGAUUUACUCUUCCAAUAAAUUUAACUAAUUUUUCUUAAAUUGUGUAAAAAAAAAAAAAUCAAAACUAUCGAAAUGGGAUGGAAGGAAUAUAAAAGUCGCUGGCUAUAUCCAAAUCUUCCCUUAGUUGUAAACUGCAUUCACUUGUAAUUAAUACCAUUGGAAAGAUAAUUAAUCUCUUAUUCAACUUAAGAUAAUUUGUCCAUCAUUCAACUUAAAAUAAACACGACGCCUAAAUUAAACUAGAGCAAGGACGAUAACAGCAUCGAAGUUCAAUUUUCUUCAAUUAAAGCUACUAGUAAGUACGUUGAGGGAAAAUUUUCUUGCACAUGACAUAGGGGGUGAAAUCCUUUAUUUUCAAAUAUCUAUAUUACAAUGUAUUCUUAAUAAUUCUUAAUAUUUAACUGAAGAGUCCUCCAAGGAAAAAAUUCAAUAGUAAAAUUGUGACAAAGGUCUACUUACCAAAAAAAAAAAAAAUUUUGUGCAAAGGUCACAAUUUUUAAUUGGAAAACAUGCACCACGAAAUUGCAUGCCUCUAAGCCAAAGAGAGAUGAUCAUGCACAAUCUCCAUAUCCAAUUUUCCUGGAUUCCUGUCACUAUGGAUUGAUUGUCUCAACCUAACUACAUGGAAAAAAAAGGGUGACUUCAAUUUAUCAGCUAGAGUUAUUCACGUGUUCGUUAAACUAAAUUUAAAAAAUAAAAUGCAGAACAUUGGCCAACUUUGCAACAUAUAUAUAACUGGUACAAAUGCAUUGAUUUAUGCAGCGAAAUUGUCAUUCCCAGCAAGGAAAUAUAAGAAUUCAUUACUGGCUGGUGUCACCAGUGUGCAUGUUGCUUGACUCUCAUGGCUGCUCCUCCCUCUGAAGGGUAGAGAGCCGAGUCAAGAAGACUGGAGACACGAAUAGAAAAGGGGAAAAGGAAAAGAAAAGGAAAACUGAUUGAAAAGCUUAAUAGUUCAAAAGACAAACAUGGCAGACGGAGACAAACAUGAUUUUAUUUUUAAUUUUUUUCUAAGGAGGGAAGGGAUAUGAUUUAAGAAACGGAGAUGAAAGAAAGAUUUAAAUUCAAAACCUCUAAAUUUUAGAAACUCAAACUUAAUCAUUAAAUCAAGGUCUCCUUGGUAACACGAAAGCUCAUUCAUUUAUCCAUCAAGUGGGGUGUGGUAAAUAUGGAUGGAAAGAUGAAGUAACCUGGUUAUCUCUGCAUCUUAAGAAGAAAUCAUACAUCAAUUAAGUGAGGAAGCUGCAUGUGAAACCUGAGAGCUUCCAACGUAAAGCUGGACUAGCUCUCUUGAUUACAAAUAACUCACGCUUGGUAGUACAAAGACAACCCAUACUUGAUUGGAUGAACAUAAGAUGAGGUUACAUUAGUCACAUCGUUUGUGAGAUUUCAGCCCAGUUGUUUGAUCCUUUAUGAUUUGGGUAAACUAAUCUACUGCAUAAGCUCACCAUUUUGCCCAUGGUAUAGAUGAACUAAAUGAAGUAGAUGCAGGAUUGAUGGUUGACUGACCAAUAGAUUUAGGACUUUAGUAAAGUUGAUGCUAGAUUUAGCAGCACCUCAUGUUAUUUAAUCCUGUGCUUAUCACUCUUCUUUCAUCAAUCAUUUAAAUUAUGUGUAAUCAAUCACCAAAUUAAGUAACCCCACCCCACGCCACCAUGUGUUGACUUUAGGAUAUUUAAUUGUGCUCAGCAAUACCGAAGAACUUCCUUCCCACUUUCUCAAGAGGAAAUUUUAUUAUUUGCCGGCCUUGAGCAUAAUGCUGCCAUAUUAUUCUGACAAAAUAGUACACUAUCAUAGUUUUUUUUUUUUUUUUUGCCUACUAGAAUACAUUGUAUCUGUAGGAGACUCGGAGGCCGAGUUUUUUGUUCUUUAAUUGGUGAAGGAAAAUUAUAAGAUAAAAAAUGGAGUUCCAAAUUAAAAACAUUUUGAAUGUAAAUGUCAUUAGAAAAAAUAAUUAAUAUUAAUUCAAGUGAAAAUUUUUUUAAAGAAUACUAAAUGUGAAUGUACAGCAUAGUAAGUUUUUUUUUUUCAACAAGUCAAAAUUACACAACAACAGAGAAUAGAAACACUCGGAAGUAAUCAAAAUCCUGGUGCAAAGCACAAUCUAAGGUGCAGCCCACAAACCAACACCAUCCAGCCAAUUGGUAACUGGAAGUGCGGUUGAGGAUCUUAAACUCAGGGUAACUACCCCACAAUCUUUCGAUGUGGGAUGGAGUACAGCACAGUAAGUUGAAUAUACUCAUAAUUGCCCAAGAGAUAUCGUCCUGGAUUAUCUAAUGCUCAAGAACCACAAUAAUAGUAACAAACCUAAACCAAUUCCAAAAAAAAAAAAAUCCAAAAAAAUUCAAAAAAUUAAACUUAGUCCAAGAUAAGAUUCUUUGAUCACCCAUACUCUAAAUCUGUUCCCAUCCGAAUUCAGUUUCUCUAUCUUAAUUAAGUGUCUAACUAAUUAAACUCAAAUUCUUGGAGAUCGAGUUCAAUCUAAUUUGCUAAUAUUUAAUUGAACUGAAUUGCAGGAAAGCAAAAUUUGUUAUUUAGUGCUCUAAAAUUGUUUAGAAGAACAUGCGGUUUAGAGGAAGUGUAGUUCACCCUAUUAGCUGCCUUGAGCAUCAUGCUGCCAUAUUAUUCCAACUAGGACACCCUAUUAAUUAACUGUCGUUUACCUGCCAAAAUAACAGGAGAAUCAGUUUCCCAAUUUCUUCCAAAAUAGUCUCGUACAAUUGUACUUUCUUUUCUUCGCAUUUUCUUUAAGCCAUUAGAGAAUCAGCUUCCCAAAUUUUUUCCGUUAACGUUCAUUACCAUUCUAUGUCAUCUUAUUCACGGUCAACAAAUAGAUGGAGCACCGUAAGAUUAUGAUGGCAGCCUGAGUGAUUAAACAUUCAUGAGUUGAUUGCAGCCUGAGGUAUAUUAUGAGUAUUCACUAACUAGGGUUGCUUCUCAAUACUUUUUUUUCCCCUGAACUUUCUACUCACUUGAUUUCCUCGGCUGCUAAACAUUUAAAAAGAGAAAAAGAAAACUAGACUCAAUUUCCAGAAUAUUCACUAGACCCUUUCGAGCACAUCCGUUGAUAAUGAAAUAUAUAUAUAUAUAUAUAUAUAUAUAAUACUCCUAUAUAUAAUAUUCCUCGAUAUUGUCAAAAAAUUUAUAUAACCAUGUAUCAAUAAACCACCGUUAGGUGACAUAAAUGAAAAAGUUUAUAUCUUGUAUUAAUAUGGGAUCCAAAUUAGUCUUUUCAAUUACAUACCCAUUGUCAAACAUGAUCAAACAAUAAAUAAACAAAAAAUUUGCAACUAGCAAAUUAUAAAGGACAAACUUUAACAUCAUAAAUAUUCUUGUCAAUAUAUUAAGGUUAGUUGCUGAUAUUUUAUGGUAUUAAAGUUCGCUCCUUGCAAUAUUUUGGUGGUAGAUUUUUUGGAUUAUUUGUUAUUGAUCAUAUUUGACAAUGGUUUCAUAACUGAAAAGAGUAAUUUGAAUCUUGCAUUAAGUGAAAUGUAUAGAAUGAUAUACUACUUUUGAUGCCAUAUAUGAUUUAAACCCUAAUGACAAACAACAAAUUCUAGUAUUUUUGUUUUUAAUGUUUGUACUGGUAUUAGAUUAAUUAAAUAAUUUAGUAGAUGAGGGACAAUGGUGGAAUCAUAUUAUCUUCUCUCUUCUAAUAUUAAUUUUUAUUGUUGAUUGGACCUAGAUGUUACAAGAUAGUAAACAUCAAGGGAGGUUAAUGUAAUUUAUAAAAUCUGGAGAGAGGCCAGUGAAAUAGUUAGAAACUUCCAGGGAGGUUUCUCAUGACAUUAUCCCUUUUCAUUAGUGAAGUUACUUUUAUUGAUCAAUGGAUAGUGAAUUUUUUUUUUAGAUAUAUAUUCAGUGAAUUGUAUGCGUUGACUUGUAAUUUUCCAAAUUGUUUUAGAGCCCCCCCCCCCCCCCCCAAAGGCUAUUGUUUAGCCAUCCAUCAAUCUUAGAUCUGUUUCAAUUUAAAUUUGCUAGGUUAUAGACUAGAUUAGCUUUGAACAAAACACAGAGGACCAUCAUUCCCCAAAAAUAAUGGAUUAAAUUUAAUUUGGCAAAGCAAAAGGUGUCAUAUGGAACACACAUCAAAAUUGUUUUAGCAGGAUGGGACCAUUUAUUUCAAAUCAUAAGCUCGUUGAAAGGAAGUAUAAGCGAAUCAAAUACUAAACUACCUGUUCAUAAUAUAUCAACAAUUAGUGGCUAAACUCACACCAUUUUAUCCUAAAUCCACACAUGUGAUGCGUUGAUGAAUUUCACGUCAGCAUUGAAACUCUUUAUAAAGGAUGAAUUUAGAAUAGUGGGGUAUAGAUUUAGGUAUUCUGUAUACGCCAAAAAAAAAAAAAAAAGAAAGACAAUUUACGUAGUGAUGAGAUGUUGUAAUUCCCAGUAAGGAAAUAUAAGAAUUUAUUAGUUACAAUACAAAUAGGUGUCACCGUUACAAGAUGACUGUCUUGACUGCUUCUCCCUCUGAAGAGUGAAGAGUAGAGAAGAAAGAAAGACUAGAGAGAGACAUGUGGUAAUAACAGAAGAGUGGGGGAAAAAACCAAGUGAAAAGCUUAACACUUCACAGGAACAACAGCACACAGAGAGGCAAAUUAAGCCUCGAAAUGGAGGACAAAUGAAAUUGAAAAUUACACUAAAUUGGGUCUUCUCAGAAUGUCAUGCUCAUCGCCCAGGAGGAACACAGAACCCAUAACUUCCUCCUGCAACUGGCAUACAGUACAGGCCUGAGUUACAGUAGGUGCAAGGAUCGUUUGGUUGCGAUAUAGCACCUUCAAAAGGUGGAUCACACAUACUUCCUUCUGUGCAAUAGCCACAAUCAUCUGGUGGUGAUCCAAAGAUGCUGUACAGACAGAUUCCAAGGACUCCAGGAGCUGCACAAUUAGUAGGUUGGUUAUAGUCAGUGGCGCUGGAGCUGCUAUAAUUUCAAGCCAUGACAAAACUCCUUAAGCUAUGGCCCUGUAUCUAUUUCCCACAAACUUUGAAGUGUAGAUAUUCUUUAGAAGAGAGUAAAGAUUAUAUCUCGAAAUAAAGCAGUUGCAAGAAACUGCGAAACAUUGAAAGGGCAAUUAAUCUGGUGUUGAGCCAAUUAAAAUAUGCUAAUGUGCAUUAAUUAGAAAAUUUUUGAACUGAAAAAGGUUCUUGAUUAUGGCCCUAUUUGUGUUUCUAAGUUGGACCAACAGGAAACAGAAAGCAGUAACAUAGCUAAGAGACUUACAAGCAGCAGAAAAUAAGAGGAUAGCAAAGAGAACUAGAGAAAAGGAAGGUCUGCUCGUCAUCUUCUCCGAAAGACAAAACUCGUCCUCAGUAGCCAAGCCAACGGAGUUUCUUGUAAUCUUCUCUUUUCUUUCGUGAUUAUCUUCUAGGCAGGAACAGCUACAUUUAUAGGCGGUCCUUUGGGUGUUAAAUGUUUACUUUCACAAGUAACAAAGGUUUACAUAUAUUAUAGACCGGCCAACAUGCUUUACCUGUCAUGUCAAUCCUUUAAUUAUUGUAGUUAAUGUUAUUGUAAUAUAUGAAAAAAAAUAUUUUGACUCUUUGAUUAAGGUGUAUAUGUGCACGAGUUUGCUACUAUGUUCUUGUGUAAAGAAUUUUAGUUGGGGGUAAAUUACAUUUUACUCCCCUAUGGUUUAAUAUUUUGUUGUACAUAAUCUCACUAUGGUUUCUAGAGUUAUACAUAAUCCCCUCAUUAUUUGGAUUAAAGUGUCAAAAUAACAAAAUUUGUAAUCCAUAACGGAAUCAUCUAAAAUAUUAAAAAUAUCCCUAUAUAAAUUUAAAAAUUAUUUAUCAACCACAACGGUAACUCACAAAAACUUGAAAGUCAAAGUCAACUAGACCCAACAGAUGCAUUAAAGUUCCAUGUUCUUCAAUUGAAGAACAAAAAGUUAUAUCUUGCACAUGGAGCAUUACAAGUUGAGAGAUGCCUUUUAUUAAUUUCUUCGUUCACGAUUUUCGUAAUAUGAUUUUAACUAUAGUUAAAAUUAAGCUUUUUCUUCGGCUAGAUUUGGUUUAGCCGACUAUUUAAUCCGCAGCAGUUAAACGUACCUAGUUAGGGGCUAGUAUUAAAUAGUAUACAGGGCAAACAGAUGAAAGAAUUUGAGCUGACUAACUGGUUCUUUGAAGUUUGAACAUUAAGUUUCAUUUGCUUGUAUUCCGGAGGUAUCAUUUGUUGUUUCCUGGAGCCGUGAGAAGCUGCCAACUUGCUACGUAUUUCACAAGUUAUAAUUUGUUUAAUUCCAUUCUGUUCCAUUUGGAUUGAGAAAUUUGAUGAAAAUUUUGAAAUCUACUCAAAUCGCUCCAGUUGUUUAGAUUGUUUAAGAAAUAUUUGAGUUUGUACUUCAUAUAUUAAGUUUGAACUCGAGCUCAUCAAGCAAUUCAAACUACCUGGAUUCGAGCUAAAAAUCAAUCAAUAUGAGUUCAAACUCGAGUUUUGACUGUGCAAACUCCCGAAAAACUCGAUUGAACUCGACUUAUUUGCACCUCUAGUCAAUCCCCACUAGUUGAAGUUUAAUUUCCUUGGGUAAAAUGAAACUUGGGCAUAAUCUCAUCAUUAUUGACAAAUCCUAGUGGCCUCAAGAAUUUGGAAAUAGUAAUUGACCCUUCUAUUUGCACGCCUACAGUCCAAGAUUCUUCUGCGCCAUAUCCUUUCACCACCCAUGUUUGAAAUUUGUCCCCAGUCAGCUUGCAAGCUGUACAAGGCUUCCAUCAAAAGACCACCAACGUAAAUCAUGGAUCAUAACAUUGAAAGAAACUCCAUGCAGGUGGAUAGAAUUCCUUCUUUUUUAGCAAGUGGAUAGAAUUCCCUCAUCCUGUCCGCAAAGGCAUGAUUAAAAACCAAUAUCUAGAGUUCAUGAUUAUCGUUUAAAUUAUAAAACUAAUCAAUUAUGGAAGUAAACCCAUACUUGAAACAAGUCUAAUAAAUAUAUAUUCGCAGGCAAUACACGAAAUCUCGCUUAGCCGUAAACUCCUAUUCAUGUUAUGGCCAAUUGACCCCACCUUCGGAAGAGGGAAUUUUAUAAUUUGCCUGCCUUGAGAGCAUGAUUCUGCCAUAUUAUUCCGAAAAUUGUACGCCAUAUAUUAGCUGUUUCUUGCCCGCUAGAAUACAUUGUAUAUAUCCCUGGGAGGCUCAGAGGCCGAGUUUUUGUACAUUUAUUGGUGAAGGCAAAUAAUAAGGCAACCUGCAGCAAUUAACUAAUCUGAUGGGAUUUUCUCUGAUCUGUGUCAUAAUUCCGCAAUGAUUUAACAAUUCUAGACCGAUUUCUGAUCUCUGUCAUUAUGGUAUCUCGCUCACUAGUCAUUUUGAACAGCUUGCAGCAAAAUGGGAUUGUAGUUUGGGCUAAACUUUGUAGUUUGUCAACGGGUGCUAGUCUUAUAGUUUGUUGUAACCACCUCCCAUCUCUUGAAGCAGGAAAUUACAAAAAUAAGAGAAAAAAAAAGAACAGAGAAAUUCAGUAUCUUGUUGUAAGCAACUUGCAUUUGGUACCAUAAAGUAUAUAUGGACAAGUUGACCUUGAGCUCUUCAUAUUAAUUUAUCUUGAGGAACGUCUUUGGACAAAUGAUAAAAUGGCCACAAUUAUUAUAGAAAUAUAUAUAUUUUUUAGACACCAACCCUUUAAUUACAAGUAAGGGUUGUCCCCUUCCCCGUUUUCUAUAUUUUUCCCUUAACGUUUAGUACUUAGAUCUAUAUAUAAAUCAAAACUAGGGAUGGCAAUGGGGGCAGGUGACCGCGGGCACCCGUCCCACGGGGGGCUAAUGGGGAGGGGGUUGGAGCCGGGGGGAGGGGGUGGGGCGGGUGCGGGAGGAAAAAAUUCCCCCCACUUAGAAACGGAGCGGGAGGGCGGGGGAGUGUACCCCCACCCCAUCCCCCGCCCUGCCACCCACUUUAAAAAAAUAAAUAUAUAAAAUAUAUAUGUAUAUAAUUAUAUAUAUAAUAUAUAAUUUAAUUAGUUACAAACUUAUGAUAAUGAUAUUAUUAGUUAUAUGUAUUAUAUAAUGUCUAUUAGUAUAUAUAAUAUAAUUGAUAUUAUUAAUUAUACUAAUAAUUAUAUAUGUGUACUAAUACAAAUUAUUAAUUGGUUAUACUAAAUUUACUAAUACAUUUAUACUAAAUCCCUAAUUACACUUAAUGCAAUAACAUUUUUUUAAAAAAGCACAAACACAAUAAUGAAUUAGUGAUUGUAUUUGUGCAAAAAAUGAACACUUGACUACUUUAGUUAUAUUUAUUUCAUCAUGUUAGAUUGUAUUCAAAUAAUUUUUAUUUGAUUGUUUUUAUAAGUUUCAAUUGUAAAAUUAUAAGGAAUAAUAAUUUGAUGAUAUGUUAAUAUUUUAGUAUUUGAUUGUUUGCUAAAAUUUAACCAUAAUAAAAUUAUAUAACAAAUUUUUAUUAACCCCGCGGAUGAAAGCGGGGGCGGAGGGAGCGGGGGACGGGGGAUGGGGUGGGGGCGGGGGGCCCCCGCUGCCAUCCCUAAUCAAAACACACUCACACUUUAGUAAGUAGAUAGACACACAACAAUAGGGGGUCAUACGCACAAAUGCACCCACCAUUUAUUUGUGGUAGCAGCACCUUCAUUUUUAUGGAAAAGAAUAAAUUGGGCCAUUAUUCUUGUGUCUUUUUGUUUCUGUCAAUGAUUUUAAGGGUAGUAGUGAAUCAUAUGGAAUCUAAUUUUGGUAAUAAAAAAGUCGGAUUAUUUAGGCGUUCAGCAAUUUGAGGUUUAGACUUUAGCCGGUUUCAGCCAUCCUUAAUCAGCGAAUUAUGGGUUCUUGCGAUGGCUCCUUUUAACUACUUUCAACAUAUUGUCAUUGAGUUGUAUGUUCCACAAUCACUGAUAUGAUUAGUAAAAUUAAUGAGAUAAAAAAAUUACAAAAUAAAGAUAAUGUAUCAUUUUCUUAUAAUUGUGGUACCUUGACUCCUUUUGACCGCUUUCAGCAAAAUUAUCAUUGAUUUGUAUGAUUCUUUAAAUCGUUAAUUUUACUAACGUUAUCAUUGAUUGAAUUUAAAUGCGAUGAACUUGUGAAUUUAGGGUGCCAAAUAUCCAAAUUGAUAGUUUAGAGCGCAAAGUGUUCAAAAUUGAAGUUUACGAUGCAAAAUAGAAAAGUGAAGGUGCAAAAUAGAGUUACUCCUAAGAUAAUGAUAAAUCUUUUUAAUUCUAUCUUUGCUAAAGGGCUUGUCAAAUGGCGCUCAUCAACAUAAGCCUCAACUUCUAUUGUUUUCAUAGAAAAGUCAUUUUGCUAUUAAGACGUGUCCAAUUGUAAUGCACCAAAGCAUAUGAAAACUUUUACAAAAAUAUAGCCUACAUGAAAACUGAGUGUCUAGGUAAAUCACAAACAAAGAAAAACAUGGAUCGAUAAAAAAAAAUUGAGAGACAGACAUUUAGAUUACUAGCUUCCGGAAACUGGAAAGAGAACUUACUAUAUAAACUCAGACCAAAAAGGGUAAAAGUUCCAAUAGAAACCAAUUAAUUCAAUCCAAAAAAAAAAAAAUCAGAUAAUAUACCAGGUCUGUUUUAUCUUGAUAAUAUCUGUAGGACACCAUCUCCACGAUCUAUGUUAUGUUGUUCAGCCAGCACCUGCUACUUGAAUUCAAUUUCCUUCGGUGAAAUAAAACUUGGGACGUAUGUGAUUGCAUCUGACUCAUUAGACCUGCGACUGUCAGGUAUAACAACUUUUCCAGUCUUCCAAUUAUUACUAUACCUCACCAAAGUCCUGCCAUCAAUAUCCACCAUUAUCUCUCCAUUCUUCAAAAACCCUAGUGGCCUCAAACAUUUGGAUUUCGUAAACCAUUCUACUUGCACAUACUUAGUCCAACAUUCACCAACGCCGUAUUAUUUCAUUAUCCAUAUUUCGAAUUUAUUCUCAGGCGGCUUACAAAUUGCACCAAGGCAUCCGUCAAAAACCCCCAAUGUAAAGCAUUGAUCCCAACCAUGACCAUCGCCAUGAUUGAUACUGGGCACUGCUAUCCUCCUAACUGUGGCUUCUGAUAGAUGAUAAGCAGUCACCUCGCAAUAUGAUGGCCAAUGAACUAUGCCGUUUAGUAAGGUGCCCCUACAUCCAUGCAAUCUCUGUCCAUAAGGCAUUUGUGAUAUUAGUUGCAGUUCGGCAGUCCUUGUCCAGUGGUACAAACUUCUGCUCGAGUUCGAGUUGAGUACAUAUAUUGUAUAAAUAGGAUUAUACAAAGUGGUGCGAAGGCAUAAAACUAAUUUGUAACUACCAUUAUUACUGCUGCAAUCAUUGUGGCCGAACCAAUAAAACUCGUGACCAUAACCAACGGAUUCAGAUUCAGGCACAUCUAAAGUUAGUAAAUCUUUUGUGGAAGGAUUCCACAUCAAUAUAACCUUGUUUUUAUUGUAUUCACUCAUUAAGGAUACUAAGCCAUCGCAAGAACCCAUGAUUCGCAAAGAACCGAAAGAAGACGGCUUUGGAUAGCGAACCUUUUUAUUCAUCAGAUUGCUGCCUUCGUUGUAUUUUUGGCUGCCAAUACAAGCAUUGAUAUCAAUGGUGGCAUGUGGGUAGAUCAUGAAUACUCGAUCAGGGUUUCGCUCGGGGUCUGGUUUUAAUAGCUCAAAUUGUUUCUUGGUGAAACGAGAGCUGGAGAUCAGAUCAUACCAUCCAUGGCAGACGCACUUGAAUCUGCAGAGAUUCUUGGCAUCCACCCUGACGAGAAUAUUCUCGCAUACUUCUGGAGGAAUGUAGAAGUUAAACUUGACUAUUCUUUUCUCCUCUCUUUGGAGCCUCUUUGAUGCAUGCUUCUUCUUCGCCAUUAAUUCGUGUCUCUGCUGCUGGCAGAUUCAAGGUGAAGAUCUUCAGAUUCUGACUCCAAAAGUGAUGAUUUUAUGUAGUACGGAACCUGUAGGGUUUAUAGGGUGCGGCUGUAUGAUUAAGUUGAGAAAGCCUUUCCUUGGUUUUAUAUGCUUUGCUUGGUUUGGCGGGGUUUUUUUUUUUUUGGGGGGCUUGGGGGGGGGGUUGGGGGGAAGAAGAAGGGUUGUUAACAAUCCAACUACGAGUAUAUUCAGAAUUAUUUGGAAAAGGAAAAUAUUCAAAAUAGGUAAACCAUAGAUCUAGCUACCCUUGUCAAAGUGUUUCUAACAAAUUUUUUUCUGUUUAAUAAAACGCUCCUAUGUGUCGUUAGGAGGAGUUAAAUCCAAAUCCCUCCAUCCUAAAUUUAUAUCCAUUGCACAAAUUCCAACGCUAAUGCUACGAGACAUUAAUGCAUCAGAUUGUGGAUUUAAGAAUGAAAGGUGUAAAUUUAAUUUUUUUUUUUCCACAAACGAUAAUAACUAUAUAGAUGUUAACACUUGAUCAUACAAGGACUACUUACAAAAUGAGUAUAAGCCCUGUCAUCUAAUCUAUUAGCCUCCUUUAACCAGCAUGGGAACUGGUUUACCCAAUUAACAUCAUUAACUAGCUGAGAAGCAAAACAUGCUAGCCUAUGACUUGCUGUAUUAAGAGAUCUAGGCUUCCAAGAAAUCGUGCAGUAGUCAAAAACUUGAACCAUAUCUGCAAUGUCUUCCAGGAUGGUUGCUAGGAUUCCAUCUUGAACAUUGUUGUCAUUAAUGUAGUUAGUAGCCGUUUUACAGUCUGAGAAGAUAGCUAUCUUCCCCCAACCUUCUUCACGAGCCAUUUGGAGAGCUAAUCUAAUGGCUAAAGUUUCUUCCAUUAGAGCAUCCCCCUUCUUCUGCUCUACUACUCCCCUUGCUCUAAUAAUUUCGCCUGUCCAAUGCCUAGCCACUAUUCCCUUCCCUGUUCUUAUCAUUCUCGCAUUAAGGGCUGCAUCUGUAUUAAUUCUAAUAACUCCAUCUAGCACUGGUUCCUUCCCUGGUUUAAACUUUCCCUUGCCUCCUGCCGUCUUUUUGUACCCCUCCUCCUGUUUCCUCACAUCCUCAUACUCCUGCCAUUCUUGUUGUGCUUUCAGACCUAUCUCCUUCGCCUCCUUCCUUUUUUGCUCGAAUGCCACCUUGUUUCUUGCUUUCCAAAUGUUCCACAUGAUGUUUGCUGUUAGGCUUAUAUGCUCUGUCCCCGACUCCUUAGUUCCUGUCUGCGCCACCGCCACCCACCAUCUCCAUAAAUUACCUUGUAGAUCUCUCAGCCCCUCCCAUCUGACUGAUGCCAAUUUCCAUACAACUUGAGCUCUUGGGCAAGUGAAAAGCAUAUGCUCGACUGUUUCUAUUUCAUCUCCACAGACAGGACAUAUCAUAUCCCCUUUCCCCGUCCUUUUGUAGAUGGCUUCGUUCACCGCAACUCCCUUCUGUAAGCACUUCUAGAUGAAGUGUUUAAUUUUGUGCUUAAGAUGCAAGUUCCACAGUUGUUUCCAGACAGAAUGUUUCCUCAACUCCCAACUCGUCUCCCCUUCCAGCCUUUGUCUUCUUUUGCUUCUGUUGUUAUCCUGCAUAGCCUUCCUAUAUCCUGACUUUACUGUAUAGUUUCCAGAUUUAGCAAAUUUCCAAAAGAGCCUGUCAGGUCGCUUGAACAUGCUAAGAGGCAUGCUUAUGAUUCGCUCUCUAUCUGCAUUGUUGAAGACAUUCUGCAAUAUUUCGCCGUUCCAUCUUCCAUUGCGAAUUAACUGGCUGACCGUUUGGAGUUGGCUAUUUGCGGGACUUGGUGUUGUAGGCCUACCUGUCUCAGAUUCCAAAAUCCAUCUGUCCUUCCAAAUAUUCACCUGUAUUCCAUCCCCUAUUCUCUUCCACAGUCCAUCAUCCAGCAAGCUCCACGCACUAUGUAUGCUUUUCCAUGACCAGGAAGCUGAAGUUGGAGGAUGCUUUUCCAGGGACUUAAGAUCUUUUAAAUACUUACUUCUAAGCACUUUACUUACAAGCAGAUUUGGAGAGCAAAUGAUUCUCCAUAAUUGCUUAGCAAGUAACGCUUUGUUAAAACAUUCCAAGUCCCUGAAACCCAUCCCCCCAUUUCCUUUCACUUCAGCUAGUUUCGACCAGCUAAUCCAAUGGAUUUUCUUCUCCUGAUCACUAUUUCCCCACCAAAAGUUUGCUAUGCUCUUGCAGAUAUCCUCGCACAGUCCUUUAGGUAAUUUGAAACAGGCCAUAGCAUAAUUUGGCAUCGCAAGAAUUACUGACUUUAUGAGCACUUCCUUUCCUGCCAAACUCAGCAUUUUGGUUGUCCAACCUUUCAGCUUCUUGAUGACAGCACAUUUAAUAUAGCCAAACACUUGAUUCUUUGUUCUACCUAUUGCCAUUGGUAGCCCCAGAUAUUUCCCGUUUGUUGCCUCCUUUAAGUUCCCCAACUCUUGACAGAUGGUCUCUCUUCUUGUCCUCGAAAUAUUCCUGCUAAAGUAUACUGCAGAUUUGUCAAAGUUUACAAGUUGUCCAGAAGCUAUCGCAUAUCUUUGUAGCAUUUCUUUCACUUGUUUAGCCUCCUGUACCGUUGCCUUACAGCAAAUCAGUGAAUCAUCUGCAAAAAAUAAGUGAGAUAUUUGCGGACUGUUCUUACACACUUUCACUCCUGUGAGCAGCUUCUCUCCCACUUUUGUGUUUAUCAAAUGCGACAAACUCUCUGCACAGAUUAAGAAAAGGUAGGGAGAAAGGGGGUCUCCUUGUCUCAAACCUCUACUAGCAUUAAUAUAACCCACUUUGGUUCCAUUAAGAUUGAAAGAAAAAGACACCGAAGAAAUGCAAGCCAUUAUCCACCUAACAAAGAUAGGGCAGAAACCCAUAUGCAUCAUCAUUCUUCCUAUGAAUUUCCAUUCCACUCUAUCGUAGGCUUUGGACAUAUCAAGUUUAAUGGCCAUAAAACCUGUCUUUCCUUUUCUUUUAUUUUUCAAAAAAUACAUCACUUCAUGAGCAAUGAGGACAUUAUCCACAAUUUGUCUACCUGGCACAAAAGCUGACUGCGACUCACUAAUGCACUUCUUUAAAACAACUUUCAGUCUAUUAGCAAGAACUUUUGAAAUGAUUUUGUAUAAAGUGUUGCACAAGCUAAUAGGUCUGAACUGAGUCAUAUUGAUGGGAUGGUCCACUUUAGGGAUCAAAGUAAUCAAGGUUUCAUUAAUCACCUUAAGCAUAUUACCAGAGUGAAAAAAACUCGAAACAGCAUUCACCACAUCGCUUCUCACAAUAUUCCAGUAGUUUUGGAAAAAGAGAGGGGACAUACCAUCUAUCCCGGGUGAUUUGUUUGGAUGCAUGGAAAACAAAGCUUUGUAUAUCUCUUGUUCCCCUACAGGUCGGAUCAGGUGCUCGUUCAUCUGUCUUGUUAUAGUAUUAGGAACUCCCUGUAGUGUUUCUUCUAACUGGUCCGCACCUCCAGAGGUGAACAAGUGUUUGUAAUAUCCACAAAUUUCCUCCUUAACUUCCUGCUCAUUUGUGCACCAUUGACCAUUAUCCUUUUGUAGACAUGUAAUCUGUCUUUGUUUCCUUGCCUUCAUCACACUCACAUGGAAGAAAGCUGUGUUUUUGUCUCCUUCCCUCAACCACCUUGUCCUAGCCUUUUGACUCCAGUAUAAUUCCUCCUCUCGAUAUGCCUUACUCAGUUGCAACUUUAGCUCUACCAGCUGACCCUUUUUUCCUGUGCUGUUGCUAUCCUUCAGCUCCUGAAUCCUCCCCUUUAUCACCUGGAUGUUUUUCCCAGAAUUCAUAUUACUUUUCCUUCUCCAUGUAAGUAAGGCCAUUCUGCACUCCCUUAUUUUUUUUGUUACCUUAAACAUCCUUGAUCCUUUAUGUUCUAAUCCCCAGGCUCUUUCUACUACUCCUUUUGUUUCUUCCAUCUUGGCCCAACGCUGGUCAAAGUAGAACCUUCUCUUCACCUUCCUCUGGUUGGGAUUUAUGUCUAUAACCAGUGCGCUAUGGUCCGAAGCUUCAUUUUCUACAUGGCUACAACUGGCUCUAGCAAACAUAUGGUACCAUUUUAUACUAGCCAAGCCCCUAUCCAGUCUUUCCUUUACUUCACCCUCACCUUCCCACUGAUUGCACCAUGUCCAAGGUUUCCCCUCAAAGCCUAAAUCAACCAGCUCAUUCUCCUUUAUAAACCUGUUGAACUCCUUAAAGCUACUCUCAUGUCUCCUCCUCCCUCCCCACUUUUCCUCCCCUGAUCUGAUGUCAUUAAAGUCUCCUACCAGUACCCAAUAUUCCCCCCAAUCCCUCUUUUUUUGUUCUAACGUUUUCCACUGCUCCUUUCUUAUAUUUUCAUCUGUACUCGCAUACACUCCCACCAGCCACCAUUCACAAUCAGUUUCCCUAUCCCUCAGUUUCAUCCCUAUGAAGAAAGUCCCCUGGUCCAUACACAUCACUUCUACUUCUUCCUUCCACAUCAUAGCUAGUCCUCCUGCUUUCCCACUAGGAUUGAUCACCCAGCAAUUGUCGAACUUUAUUUGUUUCUGAACCUUUUCUAUGGUUAAUUUCUGAUUCUUUGUCUCAGCCAGAAAAACCACACUUGGAAAGUGGAGAUGUACCAUCUCCUUUAGUUGGGGAAUUGUCAAGGGUCCUCCCACACCUCGACAAUUCCACACCAAGACCUUCAUUUACACUGUGGAGGCUUCAAUGGGAUUGCCUCCAGUUCCCUCAUUUUAAUCAUUUUCUGACAUUUCUUCCUACCUUGGUCCUGUGUUCCGUCAUCCUCUCCAUCCUCCUCCAUAAUUUUUCCCUCCUCAUUCACUAUGGGUUUCUUUCUUUUUCCCCCCAAGUCUCCCAUAUGAGUAUUAUUGUUUAACUCUCCUAAUGGUGUUCUUUUAAGCCUAUGGAACCCUUUUUGUAUUUUACGCUUGUUUUCCACCUUCACAGAAACUAAAGAAAGCAUUCUAUCCUGUCCCUCCCCCAUUCUAACCUCCUGUACAUGCUCCCUAUUUCCUAUCCCUCCCUCUAUUACACCACCCACCUCUCCUCCCUGCAAUUCGAAGUCCAUGUGACUUUCCACCUCUCCUGUCAUUUUCUCCUCCUCCUGUCUUUGAGCUUCCAGUCCAAUACCCUGAUCACCCCUCCUCACCUCCUCUGUCCUUGGAACACAAGCUUCCCUUUCCUUAUCACUAAUGACUAGAGCUUUUCCCCCUCCUCCCUCUUGCCUGCCUCCCCCUACUCUCUCUUCCCCCUCUUGCCCCCCUCCCUCUACGUUCUGUCUCGUCCUUUCCGGUUGACCUGCUCUCUCCCCUAUCCCUUCCUCAUUCCCUCUUGAACCACCUCUACCCAAACCUUCAUGUUGUCCCUUAGAAAGCACCUGUUUUCCGGCUUCACCCCUGAGAGGGGAUAACAUUAUAUUGCCUGCUCUCAUCCACGGUCCGAAUUGUGCUUCCCUACCAGCUUGGUUUGCCCUCGCUUCUCUUCUGCAAUUUUUAUCUCCAUGUCCUAUGAUACCGCACUUAUAGCAGAAAUCUGGGCAGCGUUCGUACCUGAAAUCAAUCCAUACCAUUUCUCCGUUCAAUUUCACUGAUGUUCCUCUUACCAAUGGCUGCUGCAAAUCAACCUCCGCAAAUAUUUUCAUAUGCCUCCCCUCCUUUCCGCCCCCAGGUGGUAGUAUGACCUCCCUUACACUCUUAAACAUCCCUCCUAUUUUCCUUCCCGCAGCCUUACUCAUCCAGUGUACCGGAAGAUUCCAGACUUGGAUCCAGAGACUAGCAAAUCUAAAGCACUCCACUCGUUUUUCAAAUCCUACACACCACUCCCUUAUAACAAGCACCUGGUUAUCUAAAAUCCACGGACCACCUGCCAAAACUUUUUCCUUUUCCUCCACCCUUUCAAAGCUAAAUUGGAACACAUUGGGGCCAAUCUCAGUGACACGCAUAUUUCUGGGAUAGCCCCAAACAUGGUUUGUAAACUGUUUUACCCCUGUGAAGUUUGCUAUCUUUUCUCCUAUAAUACGUCCAACCAAAGUUCCUCUGCAGUCUUGGACACUCUGUUCUACAUCAUCAUUGCUUAGGUCGAUCCCCCCCACUUCCGUAUCUGAUAGUUCGAACCUUCUCAAAGCCAUCGCUAGCUCUUCCUCCAUCUUCCCUCACACCCUACAGAGUUCCCAAUACUAUCUCAAAAUGAACAAACAGCCUUUCCACCUGCAGAGCCAAGAGGAAAAACAAACACAACAAACACAAAGCACAAGACAAAACAAAAUAAAAGAUAUGGUCUUAAACACUCCUAGAGUACUAGAUAUUCAUAGAUUGAAUGCAUACCGCAUAAGCUUCCUACUACCCUUGUUAGGUGGAAAUUAGGCAGAAAGCACUAAUUGACAAAGACAAAAGAAAGAGAAGGGUAGCUGUAGAUGAAAUUGGUUUUUUCCAUCCGGCCAAUUGUGAGCUGAAACUUUAUCCCAGCUGAUCUCUCCUCGCCAAAGGAGAAUCCUGCUCUAGCCCAGCUGAUCUCUCCUCGCCGUGCUCUUGAGGUUUGAAAAGAUUUGAAAACUAGGCGGGCUUUGGUACGGAGUUAUGCAGAAGAGUUCGAAAAAUGAAAGCUCCUACACAGAGGAGGGAAACUCUCAAAACAAGAGAGAGAAGCUCUCACUUUUAGAGAGAGACCCCUUCAAAGGAAAUAAUUCAAAGGUGUAAAUUUAAUUAGCUCCCCACUUUAUUUGUUAAUAAUGAUUUGGGAUGGAAAGGCUUGAAUUUAGCCCUUUACUCCAUUUGUUAUAAGAAAUGAAGUUUGAAUACUGAAACUCUGUUUGGAUUGGGGAUUUUUGGAAAAACAAGUUUUUUCAACUAUAACGCUACAGUAAUACACAAAUAAAAAAAUCUCAAAAAUACCAAAAACAACUUAAAAAAUACCAAAAAUAUAUAUAUAAAAAAAAAAAAAGCAACCUCAAAGAUAUAAAAAAACAACUUAAAAAACACCAAAAAUAUAAACAAAAACUUUUAAAAUAUAAAAAAUAUAACCUAAAAAAUAACUUCAUGUACAAUAAAAGUUUUUCAAUUGUAUUGUUAUAAUAAAAUAUUUCAAAAACAGCUAAUCCAAACGGAAAUUACUUAAAAUUUAUUAGAUCUUUUGGUGCAUCUAAGUUUAUAACAUACCUAGCAAAAUCACAGACCUCUCACUCCCCCAAUUCCCCUUUUUAUUCAGGCAAAUUAAUGUGAUUUUCUUACAUUUGUUUAUUCAGUGUUUAUUUAUUAUUUUAUGGUUUGUAGGAUGAGGAUGAAAAGGUGCAUUGUUUGGAUCUAUGAGGUGUUUUUUUCUUUUCCAAAAAAUAGCAUUUUUUUCAACUUAGUUUGGAAUACAUAAGCAUGGGGUGAGUAAAAUAGUAUACAAUCCAAUACGUCACAACAAAAAAUUUAGGAUAUAAAAGUCAAACCACAAGAAAAAGAAUGCAAUAAAAGUUGCAAUUAUUGUUACCAAUCUUACAUAGCUACCAUGCAAAACUAGGUAAAUGAUUAUAAAGACGUGCAGGUAAUCAGCAGGUUUCUUAGGAUGUUUUAGUUAGAUGAGCAACGAAAAAAUAAUUAACGUAGAUUAUGAUUCACAUACAAAUUACAUUGAACUAUCCCUCUUCUUGUUAUUUGAUUCCCUCUUAGUGACCAUCUGGUUCAUAUUGAGUAUGAUUUGGCCUCAAUUAAACAUAAGAAAAUAAAAAAAAAUAAUUUUCAAAUUAAUCAACACUGUAUAUAUUGUUACAACAACACAAGGAAUUGAAUAACACAAUUUGAAGAGAGGAAAAAAAAAUGUGCCCCUUGUCAAAAGAGUUUUUAGGUUAUGAAAUUGCCCUAGUAGAACUGAUGACUUACCAUGUAUACACUCGAGAAAAAACAAGAACACUAAACCUAGGUCCCUUAUAACCCAAAAAUGGUCAUGUAUGAAAUUGGCAUCUUUCACGGGAUGGAGGAUACACAAAAUGCCAUGCACUUCUGAAUCAAGGAGAACCUACACAAACGUCUGUGGCCUAUUGUCACUUCCCUUGUUUCCUUCCCCUUGGUCCUUGGACUGCAAAACAACAGGAUAAUUGAUAUGACGUCAAACCAAAAUAUUUGAAUCCUACUUAGCAAAAAAAAACAUCCAGUUGUCAGCCAUGAUAUUUUUAUCUGUCAACCAGAUUUCUUUAUUUCGAUCGAGGAAUUUGACGAAGGUUUCAAAUCUUUCGUCAAAUCCCUCGAUUCAAACGCAGCCUUGGUGAAUUUUAAUGAUAUACAAUGAUUAAGUAUUCAUUGAGAUGAACAAGAUCUUCAAAAUUAGCAAAAUGUGUUUACCUUUGUCUCCAUCGAACUGGCUAUCUUAGAUGAUAUAGGAUCCACUACGAAACUUCUAUCUUGUCCGGGAUUUAGUUCUUUGUUGAUAUCCACAGAGGGGAAUUUUUCUUCAAGACAUUUUGCAAUAUUCCCUGUUUCCUUUAGGCUUGCCAUUUUCUCCGUGAAAGGCCUCUUUAAUGUCAAUAACUUUCUUUUGUAAGACUCUUGUCUCUGAAAUAAGAUAGAGAUAGAGAAACACAGAGGAUAUGGGACAAGUAUCUACUUGCAGUGAAUAUAUAGUGAGCUAAGAGAAGAGAAGAAAGGGUCUUAUGAGAGAGAGGCAAAGUACACAACAAUUGUGUGACUUUGGGGCAGUGAGGAAAUUAUGCUAGAGGAGACAAUUGUAGGAACAAUAAAUGAUCCUAUUCUUUUGGAGGAUAGCCCAAUGACAUUGACUUCCCAACAACACGAGCAGAAAUGGAAUUUCUCUUCAUGUUGCUGGUUUAAAUUACUAGUGUGUGUGUGUGUGUGUGUUUUUUUUUCUUUGGAUAAUAGAAAUUUCAUACAUCAAGAUAGAUAUUAGUGACCCAACGCGGGAUAGCUCGUGUGGUGUGUUGCUCUUCUUUAGGAUAUGAUCACCAAGAAUCGAAUCUCGGACUAACGUUUUCAAGAGGAAUGGACAUCUCCUCUCGGGUCGUAGGGGAUUAGUCGCACCAAAAACCCGGAUAUCCCUGUGUCAAAAAAAAAAAGGAUAGAUUUUAGUAUCUUAUUGAGUUGAACGUGAAACUAUUGUACCAUUUGGAGAUAGGCUAGUUCAAAGUUUAUGGUCGUAAUUGCAAUAAAAAGUAUGAAUCAUGUUUUCAUAAAGUUGUUGGUAGUCAUCAUCUUUUUAACUUCUUAAUAUCAUAAGCUUCAUCUACUCGUUAGUUGGCGAUGAAGGGAUUCAUUUUCUCGAAUGGAAGUAAAUACGAUAAAAUCCUAUGUUGUGCUAUCCGAGGUUAACUUAUUAGCAACUUUCAAGAACUAUCAUUUUGCACCAUAUGAUCAACCAAACAAAUGUUUUUUUUUUUUUUUGUUUCAAUUUCUCCAACACCCAUCAAAAGUUGGGGACAUCAUGCAUCAAAGUCGCAUAUUAUCCAACAAUUUGCCAUGAAACAUCGUGGUUGAGAUUGCAUUUUGUAAGAUCAAUGUAGAUUGACUCUUGAGGGGCAAGUUUCAAAGUCUAAGCAAAGCUGAAAUUUAGAUACAUACCCUCAUCAAGGCCUUACCUCCCUAUUCAGUUUCUUGAUAGUUUGAACAAAGCACAAUCAUGGUUUGGAUCGUAACCAAAUGCAAGUAAUCGACCAGAGCAGCACAGCGAGCAGAAAAGAUCCUUAAGCAUGAAUUGAAAGUCAGCUAGAAAGGAAUCAAAGGAUUAAAAACAGAAUGGGCCGCCAGACAGGCAGAGGCAGCAUGCUAACUCAACCAGAGGUCUGAUGGCAAAAUUGCAUCGUGCAUCGCUUUAUAUUAAAACUUUCAUAAGGUACAUCUAAGAGAAAAGAAUAAGCAUAAUGUGAAUGCCACAUGCCAUAGGCCAAAACAGAAAUUGAACCAGACGCAGGACAACAGUUCACUUGGAUGAUCUACAAAAUUCAGUAUCAUGAAUUGAAUGCAGAUCUAUGAUAUGGACACGAAACAAAGACUGUGAAACAGAGAUCUUAAGCAUGAGAAUAGACCAUUUACAUGUAGACACAUAAGAAAAAAAUCAAUAUAAAUCACAGGUCAACUCGUUUAAAUGGGAAAAGACCAUUCCAUCUCCUAGAAAGCAAGUCAAGCCUGUAACUGCUAUCUCAUACGGCUCUGCACAGGAGGAAAGCUGACAAAUUGACAAAUUAAGUUGGGGUCCAGAUGGAAAAGAGCUUCCCCGGGUAAAUAUAUGACCAUGACAUCGCCCACUGUACUCGAAGCAAAAUCAGAACACAAAUCCCAAAAUCACACAAUAAUGAGAGCUCACCAACACGGUCAUGCUAACUAAAUUAUAUUGUUAUGGCUUCAAGUUUACAAGGAUACAAUCAUCAGCGUAUGCAACUCCGUAAUUGGGUGGACAGCAGUAAGAAUCUAUGUUUCUCAUCCAAAACAUGAGUGACUCACUGUAAUGUAUACUAAUUCAAUCAAAUUGAAUAAGCCAUUCAAAGAAAGCCUAAGUAAGUCAAUCAAGUUUAAGGAUCAACUUCCACCAAAUGGAAAUUAAGUUAAAGCACAGCCUAGAUGUUGACAACACUGGCAUAGGCUUUGCUUCAAACAAGAAAUGCCUUUCAGACCGAACUUCUGCUCCAGGAUGGAGUACAAAUAAAAAUGCUAAAACCAAUCACUUUGAAAAUAAUGAGUCCUCAGCCAAUACUACAUUUAACUUUUGUAUGGAAUAUAAUAGAUCUACCUGAGAGAAGGGAACAAAUAAAAAGAAAAGCUACUGCAAGGGUCAUUGGAUAAGGUAACCUUUGUGCAUGUACACUUGCAUUGAAGAUUGUCUCUGAACUCCAUUCAUUAAUAACAUAUUCACAUCUUUUCAUGUUCGGGAUAUAUAGUUUAAAAAAAUCUACUUGAUUAGAUCACUUAAAAACAACGCCAAUAACCUAUGCAUGAAAGAGUGUCAUUUGUCUCAAGGUAUUUCUGCUUUCCGUAAUAUGCUGGACCACAAAAUAUUAGUAAUCUCAGCUUCAAAUAUGGCAGAGCAGCCAGAGGCCCAAAGAAUUGCUCAAAGUGCAUAUAACUGAUGCUGGAAUACAAAACACAGAUGUGGUCUUGUCAAAAACAACAAAUUUAAGUCAAAUUAGGGUACCCAACAGAAAAAGGUACAAAUUUAAGUCAAAUUAGGGUAGAUGUUACUUUCACUGCUUAGUAAAGUCUUAUAAAAUGACAAUAUCUGAUGUAAUCACCUUCAGACGCAAGAACAAACAAGACACAAGGCAAUAUGACAAGUGAUGGCUGCAUUGUAUAGAAAACACAACUGGCCUUUUGGUCAGCUUAGAACACUAGUUACAUCAAAAAAUUGGAGCAGAGAACAUUUAGCCUACACUAAAAUAGGCAAGAAAAGAAUAAGAGAAAAAGGGGGGGAUACAAAGAACAAAAUGUAAUAAAAGAUCUAGCAUUACAGACCUCUACAAUUCUGCAACUCUGUAUUUUUGUGCUAUAUCAAAGGGAACAAUGAUACUAUCAGCCAUCAACGAUAAAUUGAUCAUCUUGGUUAUCACCAUCAACCCUUGCAUCACCAUGCACCAAACCAUUUACAUGGUGAAGAUUUUGCAUCAUCUGAUUAAGAUAAUGGCUACUAGCACCAGUGUGGUCAGAGAGACCAGUUGGAUGACCUGUCCACUGUGAAACAAUACCAAGCAACUGACUAGUGAGACUCUGUUGUUCGUGAACUAAUCGAGUCUGUAUCUGGCUCAUUUGUGCUCUGUGCUGACUUAGCAUGUCAUCCAUCCUCUUCUCCCAUUCCAAUCUACUCCUAUUCAUCCUUUCCUCCCAUUGCCUCUCAAACAUUAAGUCUUCAUCUCGUCUUCUCCUUUCCCGGUCUUCAAUUUCCUUUUCCAUGGUGUCCCAUUCAAGAAUCCUCUGUUUCCUCAGCUUCUCCCUAGAUAUUUCCCUUUCUUCCCUCUCCUUUUCUCUUUCUUGCCAUUUCAUGUCUCGUUCCUGCUCAAUUUCCAUGAGAAGGCGUUCUCUCCUCAACCUCUCCCGUUCUCUAUCAGCUUCACGCUGCUCAAAUUGGGUUUCCAUUUCCCUUAGCUGUCCCAAUUGGUUUGCCAGAAACCUCCAUGCCUUCUUUUCCAACCCUUUUGAGACCUUCCUCUUCUUCCUUGUAUCAGAACCAGUAGGCUCAGUGCCUUCAUAAACGAAUCCAUCAUCCCCAUCCUCUUUUACAUGACUAUUACUUUUAUUCCCUCCAUUAAAAUUCUCCUCUCCUUCCUCACGCUCAUAAUGGAACCCCAAACUGAUAAUCCCAUUAUCGACCCCAUCAAGACCAGGUGCAAAAUCAUCAUCACCCACAUGACCCAGAUGAUCAAACUGAGUCAUAUCCAUCCCAUGAACGCCACCAUCAAAACCCCCAUCAUUAUCAUUACAAUCUCCGACAAUCGCUAAUGAAUCGCAACUAUUGUGUACAACUGACACGUCACCAAAAACCUCCUUAUAGCUAAGAAAAUUCGACCAAUACGUCAGCCCCUCCAUCCAAUCAAACUCAUCCCCGCAACCCGAAUCGCCAACAGAUUCCAUUUUCUUAAUCUUCUGCUUAACCAAAGCAUACUGAUGCCUCAUAUUCUGCACUUUUACUGACACAUCUUUCCAAGUCCACUGCCAAGGGUAUGUAACGGGGUCCCUAGCAUGGUGUACAGAAUUAACAUACAAGGCAAUAGGCUUAAAUUUUUUCUCCCUAGUUUUCAUUUUAGCUAAAGUUCCAUCACAGACCAUCUCACCAUACUUAUCUAUUAAAGUCCUCUCUUCUGCCUCAGUCCAUUUCUUUCUUCUAGAAGUUGGUGGUGCCAUCAUUGAAAAAUAACCCAAAGCCUCUAAUACUCAUUCAACAGCCAAAAAUUUCUUACAAACACCAUAAAGAUAAAAAUUUUCACAAAACCCACAUCAGAAAUCUUGCAAAGUACAAAAAUUUCCCAUCAAUUAUAGCUACACAUGUAUACAAGAAAAACAGGAAUCAACCAAGAACUGACCUUUAGAGCAAGAAACUCUCGAAGAAGACUUCAAAGGGUAUCCAAGGUUUGCAUUAGAGAACAAUUUUGGGGUGAAAAUUUGGGGUUUGAAAGGAAGGAAAGUUGGGGAAUUGGGAAAGGAAGGUGGAGUGGAGUUAGGGACUUGAAAUGGGAUUUGAGUGAUUGUCCGAGGCAAAGAUGGAAUAGCGACUUUUGUGUUCGAAAGUGGUUUUGAGUACUUCCGGUCGGUAUGCACAGUCUACUGUCAUUUACUCAUUGGGAGGAUUUCUUGGAUCCCCGAAAUAUAGAAAUGAUAAUAGGUGUCGAUUACUAAUUAUUAUUAUUAUUAUUAUUGCAAAAGAUCCCACCCUAAAAAAAAAAUUAGGAAAAAAAUAAGACCCUUUGAUUCUGCAACAUCCAAAAUUUUGAUGUUAAAGCAUAUUUUUGGAUAUUACCUUUGCACGAGUCAAGACCUUAUGAAUAAGGGUGAUCACGAUUUAGGUUUGAAUUAAUUUUGAUUCGACGAUUUGUUGAACUAAAAUUGGAAUCAAAUUUUAGAAACUAGAACUAUAACCCUAACUAGAGGUUCAGAUUCGGAGGUUUAUCCAAAUUUUGAAUCAAAAUUGGAAUCGGCGAUUUAGAAUCCAUUCAAACCAUCUAAAAAAAUAUCUACUAAGUCAGCAUCUAAUACCAACAGUUCCAAUCCAAACUCAACAACUCAUUGUCCCAUUCUUUUAAUAAGUUUAUACCCCAUGACUAAUGUAUAUCUAAGCUAAUCUAAUCUAAUCAACAAUGAGAUUUUUUUUUCAUGAAUUUUGCAUCUUUUUUUCCUUCCACAUGAUAAUAUAAUAAAGUUCUUAUUUUUUUUAUAUCCAUUGUCACAUUUCUUAAAAUCAAUGGGAAAUGUUAUUUGCACUCCUACUUUUGUUAAUCACACUUCUAUUAUCAUUUUAAUCAAAUAUUUUUCAUUUAUUAAAUUAUAUGAUAAAAUAAAUGGUAGGAGUGCAAAUAACAAAAAAGGAGUCCAAAUUACAUUUCCCAAAUCAAUGUUAUAAGAAUAAGUGUUUAAACAUAACUAAAAGAAAUGGAACCAUAAUCGAAAGAAAUCAGAAUCGUAAUCGGAAUAAAUCGGACUAGAAGCAAAUGUUCAAGAACUGUUACCGACUUACCAUAACUAUCCUUAUAAGAGCCGAUUCUGGUUCAAGUUCCACCUUUCAAAAGAAUCAAAAUCAUUAGCUUUUAAAUCGAAAUCGACGGUUUUGGAGUUGUAAACAUGUCUAUCUAUGGUUGAUUGGAAAGGUAAUUUAAACAAUUAAUACAAGAACUAUUGUAACAUUAAAAUAUUAACCCUGACAAUGUUGCUUAUUCAAACUAACUAGAAAGGAUUGUAUCCACCAUGAGUCCACAAAUAUAAAGAAAUUGCUUCAUUUAAAUAGAAUGAUUAUGAUUCAUGACCCAAAUAAAUGGAAAAAAAUAAAAAAAAAUACAUAUUCUCUUUCGUAUGCUUCUUUUAGUUCUAAGAAGAUGUCAAGUUUGGACAUACGACGAUUAGUUAAAAAAAUUCUAACAUUAUUCUUAAUAUAAAAUAUUCAGUAAAUUGAGUUAAGCAAGCGAGAUAAUUUUCGGGUUGAGGAAUUUUUGUCCAACAAAAGAGUGAAAAAUAUAAUCUACUAUAAUAUUUUUGUUAAAUAUAUUAUAGGAAUAAUCUACAAAACAAUGAAUAUGAUGCAUGAUUCACGAGAUGGACUAAUCUACGUACAAGCGCAACUGCACAUGGUACAACCACUCGAAAAUUAGGCAACCAUUUUUUUGAGCUGUAGUCCAGCAGCCAUAAGCUUACAACUUCAAAUUUCCUAACCUUCUCUAUAAUUUUUGGUGCGGAUGACCAAACACUUAAAAGGACUAUAAUUCAAUUAGACAAAAGAAAUUGUACCCCAAAAAAAAAAUUGACAAAAGAAAAGCUUAUACUUUUUUUUUCUACAACGUUAGCUUUUUGUAUUGAUUGGCAAAAAAUGUACACUUAUAUGAGCAAAGGCUCAAGAAAUGCUAUACAAAAGUGUUAGACACACUGAGAAUUGAUCAAUUCCUCAUCUUGAAAUAUACCUAAAGCAUAAUCACUAAUCACUUCACAUCUAGAGUCUAAGCUCCUAUCUAAACAAAAGGCGCAUUUCUGAAAUAAGGACCUGAGGUCAUUAAUAUCCUCUAUCAAAGUAGCCAUUUUGAUGUCCUUAACCACCAUUUCCGUUAUCAUCUUCAGUAGCUGGGAGCUAGGGAUGUGGACUAUAAUUUCCUUCCAUUGCUGUUGUCUAGCCUUUAUGAUGGCCAUUUGCACAGCUUCUGCAGUAGACUGCAUUUGAUUCGCUGUUUUCCUAUCAAUAAGUGCCCAGGCAGCCACCAACUGAUUGUUGAAAUUAGAUGCGAUAAAUCCCAUGCCCACUCUAUUGGAUUGUUCUUGCACUUUAGUUGAUAUUUUGAUUUGAAUUUCACUCCUUCCUGCCUCCUCUGAAUGUACUUCCUCUUCAGCGUUUUCUGCAUCCUCCAAGAUCAUUUUUUGCUUGCUCUAGUCAGCUGCUUGUUCUUGCCAUUCCUGUUGAGACUUUUGGAUUGUUUUCCAAGGGUGCCUUUGUUUGGCAUUGAACUUCCAUUCAUUUCUCCUUUUCUAGAGUUGCCAGAGGAUGUUCACAGUGAGCUCUAUAUGUUCCCUUCCAUCUGUCUUGCUUGUAGCUUCCAGAAUAGCAGUCCACCAAGCUUGAAAAUUCCCUAUUUGUUCCUUUAAUCCAUCCCAUUGUAAUGGAGCCAUUUUCCACACCUCUUGCGCUUUGUUGCAUUGGAAAAAUAUGUGUUCAGUUGCCUCUUCCUGUUCUCCACAACCAUCACAGAUUGGAUCACCCUUUUGUGUUCUUUUACACACCAGGCCGUUAACUGGUAGCAGACCAUGUAGGCACUUCCAAAUGAAAUAUUUUAUCUUGCUCUCAACGUUCAGUCUCCACGUCCACUUCCAUUGCUUUUCAUAGAAACUUGCUAUACUAGUUUCUGCCUCAUUCUCUUUUGUUCCCUUUUGUUGAGUUGUUCCUCUGGAUAGUGCCUUGUAUCCCAAGUUGAUAGUGUAUAUACCAUUGCCACUAUGUACCCAAUAAUUGCUAUCAUCCUUUCCUGAGAUACUAAUAGGAAUCUCCAGAAUUUUCUCUGCAUCCUUCCGGUUAAAGGCCCUAAAUAUUAGUGGUAUUCUCCAUCUAUAGCCACUGAUUAGCUCCUCAACUCUUUUGAUGUUGCAAUUCAGAGGCAUCAGUGAGGUGACUCUGCCAUCCUUAUUUCCCGGAAUUCAGUUGUCCUUCCAAAUGUUGGUUGCCUUGCCAUUGCCUAUGUUCUUUCUAGUUCCAUUUUGCACAAAAUCUCUAACAUUCAUCAGGCUUUGCCAAAUCCACGAAGCACACUUAGGGACUUUGCACUUAAAGAUUGAGUCCUUAUGGUAGUACUUUGCUCUCAAGACCUUACUAACUAAUAGGUUUGGUUUGGAAAUCAAUCUCCAUAUCUGUUUAGCUAGCAAGGCUUUGUUAAAGUUCUGUAGGACCUUGAAUCCCAAUCCUCUCUCUUGUUUCUCCUUAGUCAAUCUCCCUCAUGAGCACCAAUGCAUCUUAUUUCUCCCUUCAGCUUCACCCUACCAGUAGUUAGCAAACAUGGAAGACACUUCUUUACAAAGUUUGUUUGGCAGCUUAAAGCAGGACAUUGUAUAGACUGGCAUUGCUAUGGACACUGUCUUCAAUAAUACUUCCUUCCCACAUUGGCUAAGCAACUUGUUCUUCCAGCUAUUCAUUCUCCUGCUGAUACUGUCCUUAAUGUAGCCAAAAACUUGUUGUUUAGAUCUUGUUAUCACCAUAGGGAGCCCCAGCCCCAGAUAUCUCCCUUGUGUAGCAACCUAAAUUGUGCCUAUACUUUGCUUCACUUCCCUUUUCCUUUGAUGAUUCACAUUACUACUGAAGAACAUUGAGGAUUUUUCCAGAUUUAUAGAUUGACCAGACCCCUUCUUAUACUUUCUCAGAAUUUGAAUGAGUUCGCUGGCUUCCUCUCUGUCAGCUUUAUAGAAAAUUAAAGAAUCGUCAGCAAAAAAUAAGUGAGUCAUACUUGGGCCAUUCCUGCUUAUCUUCAUCCCAGAAAUCCUUUUAUUACCUUCAGCCUGCUUCAAUAAAUUGGAAAAGCCUUCUAAACAUAAAAGGAAAUGAUAAGGUCAUAGUGGAUCACCUUAUCUGAUUCCUCUUUCUGGAAUUACAAACUCUUUUGGCCCUCCAUUAAUAUUAAACGAGUAUGUGACUGAGGCAAGACAGCUCCAAAUCCAUUGCCUCCAGACCGUACAGAAGCCCAUCUUAGCCAUCAUGGAAUCAAGGAAUUUCCAUUCCACUCUGUCGUAGGCCUUGGACAUGUCAUGUUUCACAGCCAUAAAACUAUUCUGUCCUUGUCUUUUAUUUUUCAUGUGAUGCAAAUAUUCAUGACACAGAAUGACAUUGUCAAGGAUUUGCCUGCCUGGGAUAAAAGCUGCUUGAUUUUUGCUAAUGCAAUAGCUUAAAACUUUCUUGAGUCUAUUGGGCAAUAUUUUUGAAAUCACUUUAUAAACUACAUUACAAAGGCUAAUUGGCCUAUAGCUCUUCAAAUUAGUUGGAUUCUGUGUUUUGGGAAUAACAGAAAUGACAGUAUGAUUCCAAGAUUUAGGCAUAUUGCUUGAUUGGAAAAAAUGCCUAAUGGCAGCAAUUAAAUCUGAUUUAACAACAUGCCAAAAUUUUUGAAAGAACAAAGGAGUCAUACCAUCUUGACCUGGAGCCUUAUUUGGGUUCAUAGAAAAAAGAGCUAUUUUAAUUUCCAAUUCAUCAACUUCUUUAGUAAGCUUAUCAUUCAUCUCAGUAGUGAUAGUUGGAGAUAGACCACUUAGAAUCUCUCCUAGACCCUCACUGCCAGAACUAGAGAACAUAACUCUAUAAUAGUCUGCUACUUCUUUCUCCAGCUCCUCCUCACUUUUUGUGCACGUUCCAUCUUCUCUUUGAGUGUUAAGCAUUCUGUUUUUCCUUCUUCUUCCCUUCACACAAGCAUGGAAGAAUUUUGUGUUCUUAUCCCCUUCUCUCAACCAAUCAAUCCUUGCUUUCUGAGACCAAUACUGCUCUUCUUCAAAGUAAGUCUUUUUCAACUGAUGCAUUAGUUCAGCCAUCUUAUCCUUAUUUCCUGAAUCCCUAGAACCUUUGAUUUCCUUAAUCUGUUGCUUCACUUGGUUGAUUCUUAGCAAAGUGUUUCCUGUGAAACUGUUUUUCCAUUUGAGUAAAGCCACUCUGCAAUUAGCAACCUGUCUAGUAAUUCUAUACAUCCUAUUUCCUUCAACUGUUUGUUUCCAAGCUUGCUCCACCACUUGAUUUAUUUCUUCCCUUUUGAGCCAUCUCUUAUUAAAGAAGAAUCUGGAUCUUCUUUUCUCUAUUGUAGGCCAGUUAUCUAUGAGCAACAUGCUAUGAUUUGAUCCGAGAGUCUCCACAUGUUCACAUUUAGCCUUGUUGAAAUUUUGAUACUAAUUUAUGGUGCUCAAUCCUCUAUCCCAGUCUUUGCCUUAUCUCCCCCUCAUCUUUCCAGUUGUUGCUCCAAGUCCAGGGGUUACCAUUGAAUCCUAGAUCUACCAGACUGUUACUUUCAAUAAAACUGUUAAAGUCCUUGAAGCUCCUAUUUUUUCUUGCUCUUCCACUCCAUUUCUUUUCAUUAGAGAGUAUGUCAUUGAAGUCUCUUGCUAACAGCCAUUUAUCACCCCACAACUGCUUUCUCUUGGGAAGCACAUUCCACUGUUGUCUCCUAAUAUUAGCAUCACAGCUCAUGUAAACUCCAACGAACUACCAUUCUUUUUUAUUGUCAGGGUCAAGCACCAGAGCCUCUAUUGUGAGGGCUAUUGUAACAACUUGCUUAACCUUCACGUCAUUAUUCCAAAAUAAAGCCAUGCCUUCCUUUAUGUCCAUAGCUUCCACAAUCACACUUUCCUCAAACCUGAAAAUUUUUUGAACCUUUUUUAUGUAAUUGAACCUGUUUUUGGUUUCACUCAGGAAUAUCAUAUUUAGGGAGAGGAGGUUAUUAGCCUCCCUUAACUGGGGAACUAUCAAGGGGCUCCAUGCUCCUUGACAGUUCCACACCAAAACCUUUAUUGUAACUUGAGGGGCCAGUUGAGGUUGGCCCCUUCACCCUCCUGUUCCUCUCUCAGAUUCCCUCCCCCAACUGCCAUUUUGUUUCUCUUGGGGACCAUCUCAUUUACAUGCACUUCCACCAUAUCCUCAUCCACCAAGUUAAUUUUUCUUUUUCCUUGUUGAUGAGUCAGAAUCUUGAUCCCACUAUGUUCUCUCAUUGGCUACCUAGAGAUUUUGGGAGAUCUCAGUUGUUUCUUCAUUUUGCUGUUGUAUUUUUGAGCAGCCUUUGUACCCAAUUCGGAACUACCUGGAUCAAUUUGCAUUAAAGCUAUUUCAGGACUACCAGAACUUUCCUCCACUACUGUUACUUGCAUCAGCUCACAAGCUAUUUGCUCAAGUCCUUUCCUGUCCAAAUCAUCUUGAAUCUUCCAGUUUGUUUCUUUAUCCUCUGAGACACUUAUCACUCCUCCUUCUAACUCGCAGUUAUCUUUCCCCCCACUGAGUGUCCCAGUAGCUUCUGUGGUAUUUUUUUCCCCUUUGACUAUUACUACUAAAAGGAGUUGAUCUUUGCAUUUUCAAUUCAUUGGUACUCACCUCACAACUUCGUUUCUGAGCCGCAUAAUCUCCUCUCUCUUUAGACCUCUCCUUAUCUGUCUGUCUCUCUUCAUUAACCUGUCUAAGAUUUUCCUAUUCCCCAGUCAUCGAGUCCUUAUGGCUGUGUUCCACAUUCUCCUUAGCCUUUGGGUUUAACAAUACCAUCUCCCUAUCUUUAAAGCCCCAAUAGUUCUUCUCAGAGUUGUACUUGUUCUGAUGCUCCUUUUGUGGAGAGAGUUUCCCUAUAUUGGCUCUUAUCCACUGUCCAUACUGAUGUUCCUGCUUCCCUCUGUUUAUCUGUAUUAUUGCCUUGUUGGACUUCUCUCCAUGACCAGCUAUUUCACACUUGUAACAGAAGUUUGAACACCUUUCAUAUUUGAAGUUCAACCAUUUCAAAGCUCCAUUAACUUUAACUGUCAUUCCCUGAGUAGAGGUAGGGAGGUAUCCAAUACCAUUAGAAGCUUUAAAUAUCUACCUUCUUUUCCUUCUACUUGAGGCACCAAUACGUCCUUUACCUCCUGAAAAAUUGCACCUAUUUUUCUCCCCGCUUCUUUGGUUAUCCAGUGCACAGGUAAGUUUCAGACUUGAACCCAGAGAGGUGCCAGAUCAAAAGCAGAAGUAUCAUCUUCUAUUCCUUCGACCCAAUGUUUCAUCACCAAAAUGGUUGUCCAUGACCUAGGGACCACCUCCUACUAUCGUGUCUCUGUCCUCCUAUUUGGAACAUAAAACUGAAACAUAUUUGGGCCAAUUCUAUGAUCCUUAAAUUCCUCGGUAACCCCAAGCUGUGGUCACGAAGCUCCUAACUCCGACAAAGUUGGCCACUUUCUCACCUACGAUUCUCCCCACUAAACUCAACUGACAUUCUUGAAUCCCUAUAGCUAUCUCUUCACCACCCAGGUCAGUUCCUUCAAGUUCUUUAUCUGAAAGAGCGUACUUUCUUGUCGCAUCCGCUAGUUCCUCCGCCAUGGGUUCUAUACAAAUACUAACGCUAUCUCCUACUCUCCCUACUGAGACCAAGACAAGUAAACCAAGGAGCCGAACAACAGAAGAGAGAGCUACCUAGGCAGACUAGGACGAUCACAGAGCAGACAAAAACCCUUCCCCUUUGUCUGAGAGUUAGUCUCAAAUCCCCUUUUUUGCUAUUUUUUUGUAUAAGCUUAAAAUUUAUGUAUCUUCCUUAUGAAAAGAGAGAGAAAUACUGAAAAAAGAAGCCCCAAACCUUGAACAGAAAUGAAAAACACAAGAUAGGACAGUGGAUUUAAUGGCUAUGAAGAUACCUGCCAGCACACUUACUACUACUAUGGAGUCUGUUUCCUUUGUCCAGAUGAGCCAAGAUCACUUUGCAUGCAGACAGAUUCCGACAAUGUUGCUAAAACAGAGGUGUGAGCUAUCCCCACUGAAUGAGGAACUCGAUUCUCUCAAAGUUCUAAACUUUUGGUUGGUUAACUCAUCCCAGUUCGAUCUUCUUUAAUUUGAUCAAGCAUUAAAGGUUCUGGGUGAUAUCUAAAUCUAGGGAAUGUGUGUGAGUGUUUGCGGAAAUUUUGGAAAAUUUUGAGAAAGUUUGAAACUCUCAAGGUUGAGAGACUAGCACUCUUACCAAGAGAGAGAAACUCUCACUUUGGAGAGACUGUCCUAUGAGUUUAUGUUUAUACGCUUUAGCAAAAUCCCACCAAUUUCUUGGUUUCAAAUCUUUGUGGGAUUGAAGAAUCAGAAUCAGCACAAAGGGUUCCACCUUUCCACCCUUUUGACAGGUUUUUCUUGUUGUAUUACUUUUAAUCUUCUUUACCACUUUUUGGUUUUUUGGAUUUUGGGAUUUCAACCCAACAUAUACUUGUUUUCUUUUUUAUUUUACUUCAUUACAAUUGGUCAAGAUAUUGUUAAGUUUCAAAUAUUGUUAGUACUAAAUUAGCGUCUCUUUUUGUUUUCCUUUGAAGCAGCAUAGCUGAAAAUCCAGUUUAACCAUGGAGCGCAGAUUUCAGUCCAUAUCAAAAUCAUGGAGGGCAAAAAUUGACAACCCAAAACAGUCGGAAUUUAGCUGGAGUUCGCAUUCUAAUGGAGGGCUUCACUAUGGCUAGUACAAACUCUAAUGUACAAAUGUUCAUUGAUCUUUAGCUUUGGUUCUGAUGUUGUUUGCGAUGAAAAAGAAGGCGAAAAAAAUCAACCUUUCUUUUGAAGUUACACAUUGUGCUGUUACGAGCUUGGUGAUUGUUAUGGAUGUCAAAUGUUAGGAUCAUUUAAUGGCCUAGUUUAUAGUGGUUUAUUCUAGCAAACUUCACCAUUUGCUGUGUUGUUUUUGAAUUAUGUAACUCGAAAGAAAAGGGAUUUACAAGGUUUUGUGGAGUUCUUGAGUCUAGGAACCUAGAUAUGAAUAUGGUUUUUGGUGCAAUGAAAAGUCUACUAUUGACUAUAAAUUGGUAGUUUUGGCUCAAAUAGCGUCAGCAGACAUCCUAUUAUGUCAUGGUUUAUAGCCUAAAAUGGGAUUCUGGAAGGAGCCAUGGUUGUGUUUGUUGAUAAUGCUUUGAUUGGAUUAUGUGAGAUUCGUGUUCUCUGGCUGCAUUUGUUGCUGCCUUUUGGUCAAUCAACUUUGCUAUUUAGUCAUGAUCUGUCACCUCAAAAUCACAAUGGUAGCAUCUAAUGGAGUGGCAAAUAAGUUUAAGGAAUUUGGAUGUUAGUCUUUCUGUAGCUUUCCAGAGUAGGAUUGUACAUUUUUGUUGUGGAUUUGUUGGUGAUGAAAAGCAUGGAGUUGAUGAUUCUUCAAUCAAGUUUAUGUCACAGCUGUCAAUGUAUUGGCAUUAUAGCUCUGUAAUUCCUGUUUCAUAGAUUCACAUUAACUCUAACUAUCUUCUACUAUAUGACUUGAAGAUGAAAAGUACAUCAUUCUUGUGCUCCAGUGGCACUUUUAAGUAUCUUCUACUAUAUGACUUGAAAUGAAAAAUACAUCAUUUUUGUGUUUCAGUGGCACUUUUUAGUCUGGUGACGUGUUUUUUCCAGAAAGCCUUCUUACACCUUUGUGUGCUAUUGGCAGAAGGACGAAGCCUUCUUUAUGGUGGUGGUUACCGCGGUAGAGGACGGUGAAGAAAAGGAGAAAGAACCGAAAGCAGUACUGGAUAAAGAAGGAGAAGAAGUAGUUGCUUUUGUUUAUGGUAGUAGUAGCAUGCAAAAUAAUGUUGUGGUAAGUUCAAUUGCUUGUCAGUUUUUUCUUUUGAAUGUUGUCAUAAAUGUUAUAUUUCCAUAACCUUCUGUUUUUGAGUGAAUUGGGGGAUAUGAUUUUAACUUGCUUCUAAAUUAAGUUUAAGAAUCUUCUUGUGGCCUAAAUAUCAGGAUUCGAAAGUCAUCACUAUUAGUUUGGAGAAUAAUGCCCUUUACCAUUGUAUUUUGCCAAAGAACUCUUAGCUGAGAGCAUUCAGCACCUCAAGAAGUUAACCUUCGUUGCCUAUCAAAGGUGAUAAUAGGCAAGCUUUUGUAUGAAUAAAUGAUCAAUGAAUCUGGAAACUUGAGAAAUAUUCAUAUAUACUAGUGUGUUACAGAGCAUGCCAUUAAUUUAUAUUAAUGAGUGUGAGAUUUAAUAUUAUGGGUUUCAGUACUAAUUGAUAUUAGGAGACAGGUAAGAGGCUUCCAACUAUUAGAUUUUUGUUGCAUGUGUAUAAAAUAAAUUUCUCCAGGUCAUAGAUGGUUAUGUUUUUGCUAUUCAAAUGAUUGUGGAAUUUCAAAUGUUUAACCAAACUUUAGUGCCACUUAAUUAAUGGGUUUAUUGGAUAUUUGUUAGUGAUACACAAAUCUGAAGGGUUCUGAAUCGUGAAUCACAUAUGAAUACAAUCUCAAUCAUUACUUGUUACGCAAACCAAUUCUACUAUUUUAGUUAAACUAAGAGGGCUGACCAUUUUAAAAUUCCUGAAUGAAACUUUGGUUGACACCUCUCCUAUUAACUCUUGGAGUAAAAGAGACGUCCUAAUUUCGGAAGCAACACAAAACUAAUAGCUUAAGUUACAGUUGAAUUAUUACUCAUGAAUAAUUAACAGUCCUUAAAACCUUUGGUUUCACAUAGAUGAAGGUGUUGGAAUGUUUCAAUUUUCCAAAUUUGUUUCUGCUUGGUUUAGGAACUAUUUAUUACUUGUAUGUCUUCUUUAUGGUACAGUAGGAUUUGGAAUCUUCUGAAUUUGGUCUAUAUAUUAAGGAAGAAUCACCAUACUUGUUGUCCUUCUUGUUGCAAAGCUGAAAACUUCAACCAUGUCUGACAAUAUUCCUAAGAAAUUGCCAUUUGUUGAGGUGCUCUUAAGGUUACAAGUCUUGACUCUUGGACAAUUUUGCAUCAACAUUAUGCUCUUCUCAAAAUUAUAGGCCACAAUUUAUCAAACUUCAUUACCGUAGAAGAAAAACUUUAGGCUCCUCUGAAGUUGUUAAGAUUGUCGCUGGAGCUUGUAUCAGGAUUCACAAGUUAUAACCAUCAAAGAUUUGCAACGAAAAUGCCAAAAAUGGUCAAACUCUUUCCUCAGCUCAAGCAAUGUCAAGGAUGGAAAAGACUUCUGUUUCUCAAAGUGGCUUUAUCUACAAGAAAAGAGAGGCAGUGGUGUUUAGUGCUAAUCAAGAGCAUUUUCUGGAUUUACGGAAAUGUGAGUACAUUCAUAAUUGGCAACUGUAUAAAUUAUGAUUACCUUAUGGUACUUUAUCUCCUUAGAUGGAACUUCCCAAGAGAAGGAAAAGAGAGGGGCAACAAAUCUCUGUAUAUGAAAGACGUAGAAGAAAAAUUUGCAACUAGUCAAUAUAAAUGAAAAAAUUACUCCAUAAAACUUAAAAUGUUUAACUAUCAAUAAUAAGACCUAUAUAAAGAAAAAUUUUGAAGACCUUUAUAAUUAUAGGGAAAAUAAAAGAUAUAGUGACUGCUAUGUUGGCUGAUAUUAAUUUGAGGAAAAAGAAGAAAUAUGCGGAUUCUUUUCUCUUGUCACAGGAAAGUAAUAACUCAAAAGUACUCCUCAAAUAAUCUAAAAUAUUUAGUUAUUGGAUGCCUAACCCCCUUUUUUCAGAGGAAUCUUCGUUUAAGCUUUGGAAUCAAAGAGCUAGUGAACAAUCACACAAAGUGCAAAGUUACACCUUCUGCUGGGUAAUAUGGAGAAUUCUUACACAGAUAUGGUUCACAUGAUUCAAUGUGAGCUGUAGUUUCAUGUGCUUCAAAGUUUACAUUUGUACUAGGGAAAAAACGUUUCAACUUUUGGUUAACGUGAAUUCAGUGAUAAGGUAAUACAUAGUUUACAUGCUUAAUUUUAUUACUUUGACCAAGCAGAACAUUCAUAACGUCUUGCAAAACCUCUUGAAAACAGUAGAUUAUAACUUCAAAUGUUUAUACUGUUCUAAUGGGUGUAAACUUUGAUGGACAAGGCACAAACACAUACGUCAAAUUAUUAUGGGAUGCAAAAGUUUGAUGAAGUGUUGAAAAGUUGGUUACUUUUUUUUUUUUUUUGAGUGUUUUGGUAUGCAGAAAGUUUGUUAUUUUUUACUUGUUUUCAUGUUUUGUUUGCUUGAAGUUAUAUAAUUUUACUCCAUUUUCCAGCAUUUUGUGUCCUGCAAAAUUCUGCGUUAUAGGUGAAUAGUUGGCUAUAAUGACUACAAAUUUACCCAUUUUCUCUCAAUCUGGAUUUUUGAUAAAUCAACAUGGACUAGGCAUUGAUUUUAACUGUCGUUACCUCUCUUUCCUGCACUUCACUUCCCCAUAUGGCUUUCUCUCUAUUCUAACAGAGCCUUAAAAUCCUGGUUGUUAAAUAUUUUCUAUUUGUACUUCAUCUGACUUUCCUGCCUAACAUGUCCAAAGAGGACUGACACCUCAACAAUUGCAUAAGCAUCUUUUGUUUCAUCUAGAAAUCCUAGCCAUUGAUUCCAAACUUGGUCAUCUCUGGGCCUUAAUUUGUUUUUUAUAAUUGGAGCUGUGAUUGUUUACAUGCGUCCCCCCCAUGCCAAAAAUUUUAUAAAACUGACGCACAUCAACAAUAAAUUUAAAUACUCUUAUUUUAACGGAUUAAACUUGUCUUCGACGAGUGUUUAAGUUUUUGAAGCUAUCUUAUUGUUCGCUCUUCACUGUUAUCUCCUAUAACUCCCUUUUGUACUUUUCCCUCUGGCCCACCUCCACCUCUAUCACUCUCUUCAGCACUUUUCUCCACUGCCCUCAUCAUAAUCUUCCUCUGUUGCUCCCUAGAUUCGGUUUCUUUCCUGCAACUGUACUUCCUCACAAUGCUUCUCUUUAUCCAAACUAAGAUUGAGAAUUGUCUUUCUUACUCUCUGUUUCGAAGUCCAGAGUGGACCAAGGGCCUUGACAAUUGUAUAAACAAUAACCUUUGUUUUAUCUACAAAUCCUAGCCAUGCAUUCCAAACUUGAUCACAUCUGGACCAUUAAUUAUCUCCUGCAAUUGGAGGUCUGACAGUUUAUACCUGUCCUCCAUGCCAAAAAUUCUUAUCAAUCUGAUGCAAGUUGACAAUAACUUUUAAGUGCUCUUACUUUAACGGAUUAAAACAUAUGCCUUCAAAUAAGUGUUUAAGCAUGUGAAAAUAUCCUUGUCUUCACACUUCACCUGUCAUCUCCAACAACCCCCUUUUGUACUUUUCCCUCAACCCCACUGCCACCUUCUUCACUCUUUUGAGCAGCUUUCUCCCCUUCACUUGUCAUAAUCUACCUUUCUGUUCCUCCCCAAAUUGUUUUCUGUCGUGCUUCCUCACAAUGCUCUCUCCCAAUUCAAACAAAGGCCUAAAACUGUAGCCUCUGAAUACUUUCCUUUACCUCAGUGUACUGUACCUCACUUUAUUAGCACUUCUGUGUCCAGAGAGGACCAAAAGCCUCAACAAUUGCUUAAACAAAAUCUUUUCUUUUAUCUACAACUUCUAGCUAUCCAUUCCAAGAUUGAUCAUGUCUGGACCACUUAUUGUCUCCUCCAAUUGGAGAUGUGAUUGUUUACGCCCCUCCUCAUGCCAAAAAUUCUUAUAGAUCUGAUGCAAAUCAGUACUAACUUUAAAUGCUUUUGCUUUAACGGAUGAUAUCUUAUGUGUCCCUCAAGUGUUUGAAGCCAGCAUUUGAAACCAUCCUUCUGUUCACACCUUUAUCUUCAACAACCAUCUUUUGUAUUUUUUCCUCAAUCCCAUCUCCACCUCCUUUAUUUACUAAAGCAGUUUUCUCCCUCGCCCAAUUUUCCUGUCUUCCUCCCUAAAUUUGGUUUCUUUGAGUCCCUUUGGAGGCACCUAGCAGAAAAUAUUUUCAGCAUCCCCCCCCCCCAACCAUGCCAAAAAAACAGAAAAAAAAAAAAGUCCAAAGCACCAAUCAAUCUGCCCCAUUUCUGUGUUUGAGGAUCAUUCUGUGAUUAAAAGAGCAGAAGUCAGAAACUUCAUUCUGGUAAGAAUUUUCCUUUUCUUUUCUUAUUUUUCUAACCUUAUACCAGAAAAAACUGUUACUGCUUUAUCUUAUAUGUAGCUGCCUUCUUGCUUGCUUGUAUCACAGUUGAAGUCUGCAACCAUGUCUGCAUAUAUUCCUCAGCUCUUCACCGAGGUGCUAAUAAGGUUACCCCUGAAAGCUCUUGCACGAUUUCAGUGUGUAUUGAAAUCAUGGAAAGCUCAGAUUGACAAUUUGCAAUUCGUCAAGAUGCAUUAUGACAGAACAAAGGAGUCUGACUCGGCUGAAGUUUGUAUUCUUGUUGGAGGUUCUAAUUAUGGCACUCAUAAACUCUUCUCCAUAAAUGUACAUGAUAUUCUUAGCUUUGAUCUUGAUGAAGUAUGUGGAAGAGCUAAAAAAAUCAAGAUCUCCCAUAAACUAAAUCAUGGUAUUUAUGAACUUCAUGAUUUUUAUGGAUGUCAAAUCCUUGGAUCAUGUAAUGGCCUAAUAUGUCUUGGUUUACUAUUUGGAACUGCACCUUUAGCUCUGACCUUUGUGAAUCCUUUAACUCGAAAGAAAUGGGAUUUACCGUGGUUCCCUAUACAUUACCCUGGAGGAACUAGUCAUCAUUAUGGUUUUGGGUACAACGAAGUUACUGAUGACUACAUGUUGGUAGUUUUAACUGAAAAUCCUUCUAUAGAAGUCAUGGUUUAUAGCUUUAAUUCAAAUUCUUGGAAGGUUUUGGAUUCACCAUUUGAGGGUGCGACAACUUUUGAUGAUCAAGUUAGAGGUGUUUUCAUUGGUAAGGCUUUGCAUUGGGUUAUGAGAGAUUGGGAUUCCAUGGAUGUUUUUGUUGUUGCCUUUGAUCUCCAAACUGAGCAUUCCAUGCUAUUACCUGAGCACCCUGGUGGUAGCAUUCACUGGAAUGUAUGUUUAGGGAGUUCGGGUGGUUGUCUUUCUGCAGUUUUUAUUGGUAGGUAUCCAACUUAUGUUGUUGAUAUGUGGGUGAUGAGAAAGAAUGCAGAUGAGGAUUCUUGGUUUAAGUAUACUUUGAAGCUCCCAAUUUGCAGACUGUAUACUUCUGUUUUUCCCAUUGCCUUGACCAAGGGUUAUCACCAUCAUGUUCUUUUACAAAUUAUGUUUGAUAGUUUCAAUGAAGGCUCCAACUCUCUUCUCCUAUACAACUUAAAGGGACGGUCUGCAACAUUCCUCCGUAAUCCUGUUGCACUUUCAACUUUGGCUGCAUGUGUUUGUUCUGGGAGCCUCCUUCUGCCUUCUGGUGGUCGUGCAAGAAGAGGAAGCCUUCUUUCCGGUGGUCUUGGACCUUGUUGAGCAAAACUCAAAGCAUGGAGAAAACCAAUUUGCUUGAUCCCACAGUAGGAUCAGCAGGUGAAGGUUGACAGCAAAUUUCAAAAAGAAAAAUGUUUCAUGUAGUGUCUGCGGCAUCUUGUUUGAGGAUUCUGCUUAUUAAUUUUGCACAGUUUACUUCAUGUAUGAUCAAUAAUGUAAACAUGAUUUUGGUUUUUGUGCUGGCCAAUGGAGUAUGAUUCACUUUCUACGCUAAUGUACAAAUAAUUCCUGUUACAUAAAGAUUUAGUUUUGACUGAUGGGGCUCUAAAAUUACUUUGGGUCCGAAUAUUCAGCCACAAACAGCUGCCAAUGAGAAAACAUUAUCGUUGGGAAGAUACAGGUUUAUCCACUUGAGCCUACCCUCGCUCUCAAGGGCAAUUUAACCUACAUUAAUGGAAGCUGAAAUUUAACAUACUCUGUAUUGAAACUGAUAUAAAAUUUCCACAAAAAAAAAAUUGAUAUAAAAUUUGGGUUGGAUGGUUCGAGUGAAUUUAAAUUUCUAUAGGUCACUUACAUUUUUGUUGGGCUAAAUUCGGUAAUUCAAUGAAGCCCAACUAUUAAGAUUUAAAAACGCUGAUAGAUGUAACUCAACAAGGUUCAACUAGUAAGAUUUCAAGAAACUCAGAGCAUUGAGUCACUUGUAAUUGGCUUGGAUUAAUAAUAUGCGAUAAAGUUUGAUGUCUUUAAUCACCUUAAAAUAUUUUAUUUCUCUUUUGACCAAUGUCAAAUAAUAUUUCCACAAUAUUUUUUUUAUUCUAUCGCAAAUUUCUUUUUUUUUCAUUCUUAUAACAAAAUUCUUUAAAAUGACAAUAAUGCCCUUCAAUAGUCAAAUGUUGGAUAGACUUUGAAAAAGGUAAAAUUGUCUUUUAAAGAAGAAUAUGUUGUGGGAUUAAAAGAACUGCUGCGACAUGAUUACCACCCUUUACUAAUAGUGAAUCACCACCUAUGAAGAAUUGAGGAAUGGUAUAAUCCGCCAAGUAAAUCUCCAAUUGGAUGUUUAUAUUUGCCUUUUUGGGCAAUUAUAAAUUUUUUUUUUUAAAAAAGAAAAGGUUCUCUUAUCUUGCAACGUCAAUAUGAGUUUUGUAGUACACUUAAACAUUCUUUGCAUUUAGACAAAAAAAAAAAAAAAAGGGUUAAUGAUCAUACUUUAUUUUCUUUUCUUUUUUUUUUCGAGAAAUAAUGUAUCAUGUAGUUAAGGGCCCUUGGAUUAAAGAAAGAGUCGAAGCUGCCUAUAUAUGGGCUGCAUGACUCUCAUUCAUACAAAAGAAUUUCUUACAGAUUAGCUCCAAUUGUUUGAAAACCCAAUCCAACUAAAUCGUAUGAUAAAAUUUGUACUCCAUUCGUCCCACUUUGAUAGUUCUGUUUUCCUUUUUCGUUUGUCCCAAAUUAUAGUCAACUUUCCAAUUGAAAAAUGUAGUUGUAUUUUAAUUUUCUUAAAAUACCAUUAUUUAAUGUAAGUUGUUAUUACUAUAAACCUACCACAUUUAAUGAGAGUUGAUUCUUUUUUUACCAUCAAUUCAAGUUCUCAUAAAAUUGUACUCUAUUUAAUGUGAGGGUAUUUUAGAAAAAUAGCAAUCUAAAUUUACUUUUCCAAUAAAAUUAACUACUUUUUUCUUAAAUUGUAUGAAAAAAGAAACAGGAUUAUCAAAGUGGGACGGAAGGAGUAAAAAAAA